AGAAAUCGAACAAACACUGCAACUUUCUAACUAACACACAGCUAAAAAGAAAAAAAAAAAAAGGGUUGAGUCGUCAUCGUCUCAAUGGCGACGGCUGAGACACAAACGAUGGUGGUAGGGAUCGACGAUAGCGAGCACAGCAUGUACGCGCUUCAAUGGACGCUCGAUCAUUUCUUCGCAAAUUCGACUGUAAAUCCUCCUUUCAAACUCGUCAUCGUUCACGCCAAACCUUCCCCUUCUUCUGUUGUUGGCCUCGCUGGACCUGGUAAAGUAAUUAUAAAUUUAACUAAUUAUCAAUUAGUCCUUUGGUAUUUGUCUUUGCUUUGCAAGUCUUAGAAAUUAAGUAAUAGAUUUUGUCGUACUUUGUUCGAUUUUAAUUUUCGAUUUUAGUUUGUUUGUUUUUUCUUUCUUUCUUGAUGAUCAAGUACCUGGUUUUUAAUUUUAAUUUAUCGCAGGAGCCGCCGAGGUUUUGCCUUAUGUGGACUCAGAUUUGAAGAAGAUUGCUGCUAGGGUUGUGGAGAAGGCUAAAGAAAUCUGUAGCAGUAAAUCGGUAAUGAUUAGUUUGUUAUUUCUUUUUAAUGAUAUUACAAUCUAUAAAUAAAAUACAAUCUUGGGAUGGUCUAGGAUUCUAUAUACACAUACGCUUUUGUAGUACAGUUCAAAAAUCUACCAAGACUAGUUCGGAACACUCCCACUAACAACAUUGGUGGAAAAAGCUAUCUUUAGAUUGCCCCACUCGUGAAAUGAUAAUCUUCAAAAUACUCCUCUAAACAUCAACUUUCCCUCAUUUCUGUUAAGAAGACGAAAAAAUUUUCAUCAAUGCCCCCUGAUUUUUAUUUAUUUUUUAAACCCAAACAGAGGUAAAUUAAGGUUUAGAAUAGUUUAGAGGUACUUCGAGGACUGUCAUUUUAUGAUCGGUAAUCCAAAAUUAACCUUUCUAAAUUGGUAGAUCUGGAUAAGUAUUCAUGCUUAUCCUUUUAUCUUUCCCCAGUUUCAGUAUACCAGAUUAUAAUGGGUAUACUUAAUUGUUUUUCUUCUGGUAUCAUUUCUGUAAAUUAGUAGUUCUGUUUUGUUUAGGUGCAUGACUUUGUUGUUGAGGUGGUGGAAGGAGAUGCUCGAAAUAUCCUCUGUGAGGCUGUAGAGAAGCAUCAUGCCUCCAUAUUGGUUGUUGGUAGUCAUGGCUAUGGAGCGAUCAAAAGGUAUAAAUCUACCAUAAGUUGUUUCCUUUGGUAUCUCAUAUUUUCUCGAGUGGAACUUGGUAUGGUGAACUGUUUUGGUUAUUAUUCAUAUUUUUCAGUUGUAAUGAGGACUCAAAUCUGUAUGUAGUACUAUUUGUAAAAGCUUAUAUGAAUCAAUAUUUUAUUCUUUAUUAUGGAGUAGCUAUAACCAGAUGAAAAUAGAGUGGAAAAAAUGUCAUUGAGAUGUAGUAAAACGCUUUUCUUUGACUGGCCACCCAAAUGCAAAUUGAUACUAAAAAUUUAAUUGGGGAUUUGCCUUCUCCUCUACCUUUCGAAAAAAAAAAAAAAUAUUGAUCGGUUUCUAUUUCAGUAUUCUUUCGCUGGGAAUGUCAUACGUACUAUGGAUUUACAAAUUUUGUUGAAUGAGAGGGUUAGUAGGUUUCAUUUGUUUCCUGUUGGGGAUUCUGAUGAUUUAUAACUGAGAUCGAUUCUUUUGCAGGGCGGUUUUGGGCAGUGUAAGUGAUUAUUGUGCUCAUCAUGCUCAUUGCACGGUGAUGAUAGUGAAGAGGCCUAAAACCAAGCACUGAGCUGCAGUUACUCUGCUUCAUGAUUAGUAAGCACAUAAUACGAUGAUAUGGAUCAGUUGGAAACUGUAUGAUAUCUAUUGUAUCUUGCAUAUUACGAUUGCCGUUGAAAAUGGGAUGUGAUCAAAUAUCAUAAUUUAACUUAUAUUUGGGAUGUAAUCAAAUAUCAUAAUUUAACUUAUAUUUAUGAAAAUAUCUAAACGUUUCAUCAAAGCUCACAUGCUUCAAAUGUUUCAUAGUAAUGUUUUAUGUUCAUUAAUGUUCUCCUUGUUUCUUCGCUUGCUUGUUUCUUUACCCUGCCCUUUGUAGAAUUUCCUUGUUAAUCACAGUAUGAGUGAUGGCAUGAAUAUGUACUGUCAACGGUGCAUAAAAUGAAAAGUUGAUUAGGACAAUAUUUUGAUUUUAAAUAUUUAAAAUAACUUUUAAUUAAUCGAGACAGUUUGUACUUGUAGGGGAAAGAUGCCACUUUAACCUUUUAUUCUUUAUCAUUUUUGGUGAUACUUUUAAUAAUUUGAUAGCCACAUAAAAUUCUGCUGUAAGAGGUGCUUAACACCCAUUCAUUCCGUUAGGGCAAUACAACUCGUUAAUUACUAUUUUCGGUUUCUCUGGAAAAUAGAAAUUUUAUGCACGUGAUCAUAUUUUUUAAAAUAAGAAAUAUAUUCAUAAAUUAAUAAUUUAUUAAUUUAUUAAUUUAAUUAUAAUUAAUAAUUUUUGAAUAAAUAUAUUUUUUAGGAUCCUUGCUAUUAAUUUAUCUGGUUGUAUUCCAAAUAGCUGCAUCACAAGCAAGCGGGUCGACAAUUUCAACGCAUCUAGAAAUUUUAGAACAUUGCAGCCAUCUUGUUUUAUUUAAUGUCUCGGGUAUUUUGUAAGUAGGUUUAAUUAUAUUUAAGCGCUUGGAUUCUAUCCACUUCCUUUAAGAAGGUCUCCAUUAAGACAGAGGUGGAGUAUCAGAGUCUUUGUAGGUAGUUACUGUAUCCGGAUGUCGAUCACCCUUUACAACAUCCGCCAAAGCAAUGGAAUCAUGUUCAGCCAUUUCUUCUGGAGCUAAUUUCACUGUGAGAGCUUCAAUAUUUUCAUUGAGCUGUUCGAACUUGGUGGUUCUAGGUAUGGGACACACAUCAUCACCUUGGUGGUGAAGCCGGGCUAACGCAAGCUGUGCUGGGUGAAUCCUUUUCUCAUUGCUAUUUCAUUAACAUGCUCAAAUAACUUUUUGUUAUGCUCCAAACCGAUUUGACUUGAGUCCUAUUUAUUUUGAUGACAAGUGUCAUUGUUCGUAUCACAUCUGGCGACACUUGUUUGUUUGUGCCUAUAUUAAUUGACACAUGGAUAUGCAAGCUUCUCUAUAGAUUAUAGAAAGAAACAUUUUAACUUUAGAUUGUUUUUACUAAGACUCUAAGAUGAUGGGAACCUUAGAACUUAGGAGAUUUAUCAUAAGUAGUUUGUCUUAGAAUAUGAGCCUACGACAUCGGUACCUUUUGGGUUUUGAAGCCUCAUCAUCUAGGAGGAUUAUCCUAGGUGGUUUGUUUUAGGAUAGAAUCUUAGGACUUUAGAACCUUUUAGCCUUGGACUUUGGGAUCCUUUAGGCUUUGAAGUCUUAUUACUUAGAAGGAUUAUCCUAGGUGGUUUGUCCAGCACUUUGUGGGUUUAAUUGAGAGUAAAUUUAUUAUAUAAGCCUUAUUGAGAUUAAAUUUAUUUGGGCCUUGAUUGAGCCUCUUUUAUUUUUGGUCCAAUAAUGUCAAUAGACUAUUCUUUGUAUAAUAUAAUAUACUCAACAGAAACUAACCCAUUAAUACUAAAAAUUAACCUUGUAGUAUUUUCUGAAUUAUUUUAGUGUUCAAUAUCUACAAUCAUGAUGUUUUUGAAUAAAAGAUACAAAAUGUUUAUAAUGUAAAAAAGAAGUCCGGGUUUAUAUGAUGUAAGAAAUUGUUGAACUAAUACAUGUAUGGAUGUCAAAAGGGUAGCAUAAGAAUUCACGAAUAGAAUUUGUGACUGCUUAUCAUGAAUUAGGUUAAAAGUAAGUAAAUUCAAUAUAAUGAAUUGGGUUAAAAGUUUGAAACUCCAAAGAACUUCUUGCACAAUUCAUGCCUUUCUGUUUCUGUGAUCUCCAUUUCAAAUUGUUCUCCAGACUUUUUAUCAAUAUGAGGUGAUCGCAAAUAUACAUGUAUAAUAUUAUUAAAUAUAAAAUCUUAAAAUUUUUAAGCCCAUAAAAAAAAAUCCAUUUGGUGCCGAGUUUUUAAGCCCAACCUGAGUGUUAGGAAAAAAUGCUUGGGCCAAAUUUGAGUAUUGCUAUAUCUGGGACCGACCUGAGUUUUUACCAUCACUAAGCAUAAUUAGUUGGUUGAAAUAGUUUAAUUUCCAGUAAAAUGAUCUGAAAAAUUGUGAAUCAAUUUGGUAACCUGCUAGAGGCCACUUUGUAACACAGCAAAAGUAUUCGAUUGAUAUGAAAUUAUUGAAUAAUUUUCUGUUGAGGAGGGAUGUCGUGUAACAACAAGAAACAUAUAAUGCUACAAUAAAUUUAGAUAAGCAAUAAUAUUUGGGAUCCCAACAUUUGAGUAUCAACUUGACUCCUAAUGAUAUGUGUCACUCAUCAAUUGGAUGAUGGAUCUCAUAUCUAGUAAAAUUACUUAAUCACCGUUCAAUAGAUGAAUUCCACGUUAGUAGGGACUCAAAUUGGGACUUAUAUGUUGGGAUACCUAACAUUGCUCUUCACAUCAAUGGAGAGGCUCCAAGUGGGCUGGGAAAUUUUUAGAAAAUUUACAAAAAUGCCAUAAUACAAAGUUUACAAAUUGCCACUAUUUUAUUUACAAUAGUACUGCUAUAUUAAUUUACAACUUUGUCAUUCAAAUAAAUAAAUAGAAAAAGUCUUUAAAAAAAAAUAGAAAAAGAGAGCAUUUAUUUUAUUCAAGAUUCCAGAACGUUCUUUCUUUCUUGGCUUCUUCAAUUCUUUUUCUUCUUCUUGGCAAGAAUAGAUAAUAAAUUUAUUGUUUAUUCAAUCAUUUACAAUACACUUAUUAAUUGUUAGGUAGUAAGGACUGAAGAUUAUGUUCCUUAACUUUUGUUCCAAUUUUUUUGUGUAAAAUUAAAUUAUUGUUAGGUCAAAUGAAGAUAAUUUAGCCAUUAAAUUCUGGCAAUCAAAAUUUUAAAUUAAUUUUUGAUAGAUUAGAUAUAUUUGAAAUUGAUUAUUGAUAUAGAUGGAUCAUAGAUUCAAUUCAGUAUUGAUAGAGAGAUAUUAUACAUAAUGUUAAUUUGUUAAUUAAAUAUAUUUUUUGGCUUCUGGAUAGUGUCAAUGUGUGUCAUAGUGACAUGUUAGGCUAUAUAGCUAUAAAAUGUUAUUUUGAUGAUAACAAACCACAUGUUUUGGAUAAACAAAUAAUUACAUAUUAUGCUUUUGAAACAAGAAAAUUAUUUUAUGAAAUUUGUUGUUUUCAAGUUUAUGGUUUAAAUUAGAAAGUUUUGAGAACUUUGAAAUCAAUAAGUAUUAUUUUAAAAUUCUGGAAAUUGAUCUAUUUACAAAGUUUUAUAAAGAUUUGGGACGUAAUAUAAUUUUAUAAAGUUUUAGGGUAACAUUAUAAUGUUAGAAAAUAGAUGUUUCACUGUAGCAAACGGCUAACUGGAUUUAUCAAAGUAGCAAACUGGUUAUCAAGCAAAAGCUCUCUGGAGUAAAAUUGACUAACUGAAAAAUGAAAAGUGACAAACUAGAUGUGCAAACAUUCAAAUCCUUGACUGUAGCAGUAACAUCAAGCGACAAAGUUAACAUAAAACGACAAGCCGAUUAUCACUAAAAAGUCAAUAACAGCUAAUUUUCUGCUCCAACUAUAAAAUGACUUCAAUUAAAUUAAAAUGAAGAGAGACAACCAUUGUUAUCAUUGAGCAAUCCUCUGCAAUUAGAGAACAAAAUUUGUGUAUUCAUUUUAUUUAUUCACACAUGUUGAAUUUUCAUUUGUAAUCAAACAAAUUGUGUGAGGAAAAUUUAUUUGUAAUCAUUUUUGUAAAAUCAAGUUAAGAGGUUGUAAGUGUUGGGAUACACUUGGGUUAAGAGAUUGAAGAUAAUCUCUUGUUGUAAAGGUCUAUUGACUCCUUGGAAGUCAAUUGUAAGAGUUGUUGAAGUCUUGGAGAAUCACUUAGUGAAAUCCUUAAGCCCCGUGAGCUUGAAGGCGUGGACGUAGGCACGAUUGACCGAACCACGUAAAAAUCACAUGUUUGGUCUCUCUUACCCUACCUCUUUAUUUUUCAUUGCACAUUAAUUGUUUAUUUCGAAUUUGGUUACUUUGUUUAAAUUGCAUUAAUUCUUAAUUGAUUAAAUUUUUAGAAGCCCAAUUCACCCCUUUCUUGGGUUGCAUAACCUGUAUUUCAUGAUAGAUUGACGGUUCUAUAGCUUUUAUUAGUGAAUUUGUGAUUACGUCUUUUAACUUCUUUUAUAUUUAUACCUUGUUUUGGCUGCAAUGACCAAACGAGCAUAAACACCACUUUAAAAUAAGAAGAAGGAAUUUUUAUCAGAUUGUAUAGUUAUCUAUAUUAAAAGAGAACUUGUAAGCACCAUCAAUUUAAAUUCGAUAAUAGAUGGGUUUAAUUCUCGAAAGUAUGGUAAGGCAAAACUUAAUAGUGUUUAAUUGUGACUAAAUUGCUUCUUAGAUAUGAUAUAUUUUCUUAUGUAUUAAAAAAAAUUUCUUUCAGAUUUAUAUUUUUAGCCGAGAUAAUAUUUGGAUUUGGAAAAAAUUUAGCCUACCCAUGAAAUUUUUUUUGGCUUCGCCCCUAAUUAAGAUCAUCUAAACUUCUAGAAAUUUCAGAUAAAUAUUACUCCAUUUUGAUUUAUUUAUUGUUUCUCAUAUAUUUGCAUAAACACAUUACAUUGUUUUUGUGCUUACUGCAGAAGACAUUGUUGGGAAAGGACCACCACAAACAGCUGCAAAUUAAGCGGAAAAAAAAAAACUCUUUCCUUCUUUGUGUGAUUAAAAUAGGAUGUGCACUACAAAUAAAUAGACAGAAAAAUAAACUAAUAAAUCCAAAGUAAAAACCAACUACAAGAGACACAUAUUUUUACGUGAAAAACUUAAAGCGAGAAAAAUCAUGGGACUGUAGUCCGCUAUAAUCUUCCAUCAUAUUAAUGGGAUUACAAUACAAAUUCUUCUCUAGAUAAUACUAUGGGCUACCAACAUCAAGAAUCUCAAUAUGGCUUACAGUAACAACCUAAUAACUAUCUCUCCAACAAGUGAGUAUCUCAAAUAAUAGUCAAAGAGAGGAUAAAAUAAAAAUCAAGGCUAGUAGGAUUGUAGAGGCCGAUGCGGCGAUGCCAAGAACUUACGCUAAAAAUUUAGGAGAAAUCAGAGUUAAUAUCACCUUCCGAUCGUCUAAUGAAAGAUUAAAAUUACUAUUCCUAAAUAAAAGCAUCUAUUGUCUUUUCUCUCUCUCUCUCGCCGCUUUUUCACUCUCAAAAUUAUCUAAGGCAGCGUCUUUCACUUCAUUUUAUAGGCAAAUUUCAUUUUAAGUCUCUUUUCAUUACUUAAUUUUCCAAACUUAUUAAACUUUAGCCUUUUGGCCUCCAAAUGAGAUGGGCCCAACAAAUCUCCCUCUCCGAAUCAUGUGGGGGGCACCACCAAUCCCGCUCUCUGCAUACGGCUUUUCAGCUUCUCCUUAGGCAAUGGUUUUGUCAUCAUAUAUGACCCACUCUCCGUUGUGUGUAUCUUCUCAACCUGCAACUGUUUCUUCUCAAGCACGUCUCGUAUCCAAUGAUACCUCACAUCAAUAUGCUUAGAUUUCAAAUGGUAUGUCGAAUUCUUUGCCAAGUGAAUGGCACUCUAACUGUCGCAAUACACAACAAAGAUAUUUUGUUUCACACCCAACUCUUGUAGAAAAUUCUUCAUCCACAAGGUUUCUUUGUAACCUUUAGUGAUUGCAAUAUACUCUUCUUCUAUGGUAGACAAGGCAACACACUGCUGAAGUUUGGAUUGCCAUGAGAUAGCUCCCCCUACAAUGGUGAGCAAAUAUCUUAAUAGAGAUUUUCUCGAAUCAACAUCUCCUGUCAUAUCUGCAUCUGUGUACACUUGUAAUAUAAGUUUGUCACCACCAAAACAUAAACAUGCCUUGGAAGUGGCUUUGAGAUAUCUAAGAAUCUACUUCACUGUUGUCCAGUGCUCUUUGCCCAGAUUGGAGAGAAAUCGACUAACUACUCCAACUGCAUGAGCAAUAUCUGGUCUUGUACAAACCAUGGCGUACAUAAGACCACCAACUGCUGAAGCAUAAAGAACUUCUUUCAUCUCUUUCUUCUCUUUCUCACUUGUGGGACAAUGCUCAGAACUAAGCUUGAAAUGGCCUGCAAGUGGAGAACAAACAGAUUUUGCCUUGCUCAUGUUAAGUCUUUCAAGAACCCUUUCAACAUAUGCUUCUUGAGAUAACCAUAACUUCCAAACUUUUCUAUCGCGGGAAAUCUUCAUGCCAAGAAUUUGUUUCGCCGGUCCCAAGUCCUUCAUUACAAAAGACUUGCUAAGUUCUCUCUUUAGAUUGUCAAUCUUACGAGCAUCCGGGCCAACAAUCAACAUGUCAUCUACAUAAAGCAAAAGAAUAAUGAAAUCAUUAUCUCCAAACUUCUUUAUAAAAACACAAUGGUCGCACAUAGUCUUGCUGAAACCAUGAUUCUCCAUAAAAGAAUCAAACUUCUUGUACUAUUGUCUUGGUGCUUGUUUCAGCCCAUACAAACUUUCUUUAACUUGCACACAAGUUCUUCUUUGCCUUUGACAUUGGACCCUUCAGGUUGCUCCAUGUAUAUUUCCUCCUCGAAGUCACCAUGUAAGAAAGUUGUCUUUAUAUUAAGUUGUUCAGUGUCUAAGUUCAAGUUAGCUGUUAAUCCUAGAACAACUCGGAUAGACGACAUCUUCACCAUAAGAGAAAAUAUUUCUUUAAAGUCAACACAUUUCUUUUAAUCGAAACAUUUCACAACCAAUCUAGCCUUGUAUCACUAUUGUGAGUUAUUUUCAUUCUUCAACCUAUUAAACCAUUUGUUCUUUAGUGCCAUCUUUCCUUUAGGAAGCUUUACUAAGUCAUAAGUAUGGUUUUCAUUCAAGCAUUUCAUCUCCUCUUGCAUGACUUUAACCCACUCGCUUUUAUGUUGGUGAGAUAUGGCUUAUGCAAAACGUUCUGGCUCCCCUUCAUCUGUAAGCAUCACAUACUUAUGUGGAGGAUAUCUAGUGGAAGGUCGUCGUUCUCUGGUAGAUCUUCUUAAUUCUGGCUCAAUUGGUGGUGCAGGUGAUUUUGGAGGUCCCUGGUCAACUAGUUCUGUUGGACUAUCAUUAUUAGUCUCUCCAGCUCCCUCAUGAUCAUUAUGAACUACAGCUGGAGAAACUGAAGUUGGAAUUAUAGGAAUCUCUGGAGAUGACUGAGGCUCGUUACUCUUCUCUGCAUUACCAAAUAUAUGAUCUUCAAGGAAUAUAACCUCUCUACUAAUUUUCUUACCACUAGAUCCCAUAAUAUGUACCCAAAUUCUUUAUGCCCAUAGCCUAAGAAAAUGCAUUCUUUGGCUUUAUCAUCAAGCUUCGAUCUAUCAUCUUUUGGGAUAUGAACAUAUGCUCUAUAACCAAACACUCUUAAGUGUUUAUGAGAGACAUCUUUUCCAGUCCAAACUCUUUCAGGUAUAUUGCUAUCUAAUGGAGCUGAAGGAGAAAGGUUAAUCAAAUCAACUAUAGUAUGCAUAACCUCUGCCUAGAAAGAUUUAGGAAGCUUAGCAUCACAGAGCAUACACUUGACCCUUUCUUCAAUUGCUUUGUUCAUCCUUUCUGCAACACUAUUCUGCUGCGGGGUUUUUGGUACAGUCUUCUCAAGUCUUAUUCCAUGGGAUCUGCAAUACUGCUCAAAUGGUCCUUUGUACUCACCACCAUUAUCUGCCCUGAUGCAUUUUAAUUUUUUUCUUAUCUCUCUCUCAACAUAAGCAUGGAAGAAUUUAAAUUGUCAAGCACCUGGUCUCUGAAUUUCAAAGUAAAAGCUUACACUUUUCUAGAACAAUUAUCAAUAAAAGUCACAAAAUAAAGUGUAUCUCCUAUUAAUCUACUCUGCAUCAUGCAAACAUCUGUGUGAAUCAAAUCAAGUAUUUCUGACUAUCUAGAUGGAGAAAAAUUUUUAAAAACUACUUUGUGUGUCUUUCCAGCUAAGCAAUGAAUACAAGUCUUGAGAGACACACCUAUGAAGCUGGGUAGAAAUCUUUUUCUGACAAGGGUUUCCAACCCUUUCUCACCAAUAUGACCAAGCCUUUUAUGCUAUGUCUCAAUGGCAUAAUUUUUUACAGCCACAUUCACAUCUUUUUUCUUAAUCUUGGCUUCUAACAUAUAGAGGGUGUUUACUUUUUUCCUCUUAGCUAACACUAGGGAACCUUUGAUAAGCUUCUAUUUUCCUUUCACCAAAUGGGUUAGUAUAGCCAUCAUCACCAAGCUUGCCUAAUAUCAGGCACAUGUCUGACAUAAUUAAGCAACAAUUUACAACCGAUGUUGGUUUCCAAGCAAAUAUCACCUAUGCCCCCUUAUUUCCCAUCUGAACAUGGCCAUAAUCACUAUUAACAUCGGAUGUGAAGCUAUCACGACGUGCAGUAAUAUGAAAUGAAGCACCUGAAUCAAUCACCCAAUCACUGGUAUGGCAAGCGAGAUUUAUUAAACUCUCAUAUAAACAAUACCCAAAUCACCAUCAAGUAUGGCUGCAGUGUUCUCUUUGUCAUUUUUCUAAGCAUCACCCUUUUCUUUCACCUGUUCUCUUUUCCACAUUCUACACUCCCUUUUAACGUGACCCAUUUUCUGACAAUGAAAGCACUUGAGGUUUCUCCUCUAGGACUUAGAUGAUCAUUGUUUUGUUGGCAGAAAUUUAUACUUUGGCUUCUUCCCCGUUUUUCUUACUUUUCUGAAACAAGUGCUUCUGACUCAGAGGAAACUGCUUCAACAUUCUUUCUUCUAGAUUCUUCAUUCUGUAACCAUAUACAAAGUUAAUUUCUCAUUCGACGCUGAAUUAUUCACUGACACCACUAAUGUCUCUCGUUAGGCAAAGAACUAAGCAAUAAUAAUACUUGUAACUCAUCAUCUAAUAUACUUUUUAUAGCAGUUAACUAAUCAAGCAAGCACUGAAACUCACUAGUGUGUUCAGUUAUAUUGCGCCCCUCCUUUUAUUUCAAGUUAACAAGCCUUUUCAUCAAAUUGACUUUAUUCUGUAUUGUCGGCUGCUCAUAAAUUGUCUAUAAUUUUCUCCAAAAAAAAAUUCAACCUUAGAUUCUUUUGCUAUAUGGUGGUACACACUUUGAUCAAUCAGUGGCUUAAUAGUACCCACAACCUUCUGGUUUUAUUGAAUCCAUUUCUUAUCAUCUAAAUCGGCGGGUCUAACUUCUUCGCUUUUAAUGGGUUCAUAUAAGUCUUUCAUGUAUAACAAAUCCUCCAUUCUAGACUUUCAAAUACCAUAAUUCCAUGAUUUUAGUUUAAUCAUGCAUGCCAAGGACUUCUCCAUUUAACCACACAAACAAUUAAAAAUACAAAACUUGACGCUCUGAUACCACUCAGUUGGGAAAUAGACUGCCACAAGCAGCUGCAAAUUAAGUAGAAACAAAACUCUUUCCCUCUUUGUGUGAUUAAAAUAGGAUGUGCACCACAAAUAAAUAGGCAGAAAAAUAAAUCAAUAAAUCCAAAGUAAAAUUCAACCACAAGAGAUACAAGAUUAUAGUCUGAUAUAAUCUUCCACUAUAUUAAUGGAUUAUAGCACAAAUUCUUCUCUAGAUAAUAGUAGAGGCUGCCAACAUCAAGAAUCUCAAUAAUCUUAGCUUACAGUAAUAACCUAAUAAUUAUCUCUCCAACAAGUAUGUAUUUCAAAUAAUAGCCAAAGAGAGAAUAAAAUCAAAAUCAAGACCAGUAGGAUUCUAGAGGGCGAUGCCAAGAACUUACCCUCAAAAUUUGAGAGAAAUUGGAGUUAAUUUUACCUUCCAAUCGUCUAAUUAAAGAUUAAAAUCACUAUUAUCAAAUGAAAGCAUCUAUUGUCUUUUCUCUCUCUCUCUCUCACCACUUGUUCACGCUCUAAAUUAUCCAAGGCAACGGCUUUCACUUGCUUUUAUAGGCAAAUUUCAUUCUCCCCUUUAAGUCUCUUUUAAUUACUUAAUUGUCCAAACCUGUUAAACUUUAGGCUUUUGGACCCCCAAAUGAGAUGGAGCCAAUAGAUACAAUGAUUUAGUUUUACUUACAACAUUGCAUAGAAAAUCAAUACAAUAUUCACUAAAUGCUUGUAGAAAGUGCAGAAAGGUGCUGAUAGGGUCUCGUAUCAGAAGACAUGAUGACUUUAUUUUUACUCACAACACAAUGAUUUUACCCACAACAAAACCUAGGAACUACAUGCAAUUGCAAAAUCGGUACUAAGAAGGCAGAAUACCAAAACCCUUUAUGAAGGUUUCCACGAAGACAAAGGUGGAGUAUCAGAAUCCUCGUAGGUACGGGUGACACCCCCAUACCGAUGACUCCUGACAGCAUCAGCUGAAGCAAUGGAUUCAAGCUCAGCAAUUUCUUCUGGAGUAAGUUUCAGUGACAGAGCUUUAAUAUUUUGAUUGAGGUUUUCAAUCUUGGUGGUUCCAGGAAUCGGACACACGUCAUUUCCUUGGUAAUGAACCCAUGCUAAUGCAAGGUGAGAUGGGGUGCAUCUUUUCUUUACUGCUAUUUCAUUAACACGUUUAAAUAGCUUUUUGUUAUGCUCUAAAUUUUCAUGUUGGAACCUAGGUAGAUGCUGCAAGAUUUAGAAAACAGCUCAGUACCAAAACUGAACUGCAAUUGAAUCAUUAAAAAAAGAACAUUAUUUUGGAUAAACCAUGAUUUUAGAGGAGGUUUAAGUAAAAUUCAAUAGACCAGAAAAUGAAGAAAAAGGACUAGUCAGGGGACUUCUCCUAGGUAGAGGAUGUUUAUAGUAAAACAUUUUGGCACGUUAGACAAAGAUCUCACAAGAAGUAAACUCUCCUAGGACUUAUCAAUUGAUUUCACAUUGACGUUCACAGGCAGAACAAUAUAACAAAAAUGGAAGUAGCCACAAGGACGUAGAAAGUUUGGAAGAGUCAGUAAAGCUAAACUUCUUGAGCAUCCAGUAAUAGUUUUGAGGUAAUGGAACAAUUCCCCCCCCCCCGCCCCCCCCAAUUUUUUUCACCUCUAUACGACUUAAGGGGUAUUAUCAUGUAUAUAAAUUAAAUCUGACAUGUUAAAUUUUUCUGUCAAUCAAUGAAGUCAUUGCAUAGAUAGUUCCUUAGAUUUUCAAUGCAAAGAAAGAAUUUGCUCAUAUUUGAAGAGGUUAAUGAACAUAAUAUGAGGGAUAAAAUUGAAAUCUAUGAAGAAUUUCAUAACUAUAGAGUAAAACUAAACAAAAAUUAUUAUUGUAUUGCUGGAAAUGAGAAUGAACGUGUAAUAAAGAAGACAAGUAAUGCAAAUAUGAUGAAAGUAAAAAUACAUGAUUAGUAAACACCAAACAUCACUACUAGAAAAAAAGCCCUUUGUGACGAGUAUUACUCGUCAUCUUCUGCAUGGCAUGACGGUUGAGCGACUGUCAUUGAUUCCGGUAUCAAGAAAAAAUCAUGACAGUGUUUAUAUGUCAUGGUAAGCAUGACGUAUUAUCCAUCACGAUUCUGUCAUUGUUGAUUUGAUGAAAAAUUUCCGCACAUGACUAAUGUCUGUUAAUAACAUUUCCCAUUCAUGACUAUUGUCUGUCACGUAAACAUAACAAAUUUAAUUAAAAUAAUUAAAUUAUUUAUACAUUUAAUUAAAUAUUAAUUCCUAAAUUUUGGCGGUAAAUGAAAUAUAUUUUAUUUUUUUGUGAGAAUUUUUGGAACUGGUGCCAAAUUUAUAAAUUUUUUUUGGCGCGAAACAAUGAAAUUAGCGGCAAUUUUUAUAUAUUAUAUUUUGGCGGGAAUUAAUGAAAUUGGCGCCAUUUUUUUUUGGCAAAAAUUAAAAUAUAUCUUUUAAAUUAUUAUAUAAAUAAAAAACUUUACACACAUAUAUACUGAGUUCCAACGAAAGCACUUCCAUCCUUCGAUCCUAUUUCCUUCUGGUAUCAGAGCCAAGGGGAGGAUAUUGUAAUACAGUUUAUAGAAUUUUAUAUUUAAAGACUUGUGUUUUAUUUUGAAGUUUUGUUGUGUGGUGAAUUCUUUACUGGUAGUAAGUCUCGUUUUAGGAUAAGAGUUUCCGCUUAGGGCUGUAAAACCAUACCUGUAGCCAUUCUUUCAAAACCAAAAAUAGACCAUAGGUUUUUACCCAUGGAACCUAUACACUGUAGAACAUCAUCCUUUUCUAGCUCUUCUUCCGGGAAGACUAGUGAUUCAAAUCAUGUUGUGAGUUCAGAAGAAUUCGUUAUUGAGAACUUUGGUAAAGCAAUUGAUUGUUGGGAACUUCCAAAAAUUUCUAAAGAAAAAAUUUACAGAACAAAAAAGCUUGAUUUUUUAAAGAAUGAUUAUGUUAUAAAGACUGAAGAACGUGACAUAACUCUUUCAAAGCCAUUUGAAACAAUUCAUUUGUUCUCAGAGCAUUCUUUAAAGAAAUUGAAAGAAAAGAAUUUUAAUUAUGUUCACAUUGGUCUAAUUCAAGUCGGAAUAAAACCCUUAACCAAAGAAGGCUUGGAUACUUCCAUCCUUGCUGUCUUAAGAGAUGGGCGAUUCAUCUCUUUUGAUGAUUCUUUGCUAAGUAGCAUCGAAUCUAGUCUCUGUAAAGGUCCAAUAUCUUUUGAUUGUUAUCCAAACAUAACAAUUUCCCUUAAAGAUAAAAAUAUUUUGAAAAACAUGAUUUUACAAAUCAAGACUCAUAAUUAUCACAUGAUAGAGGGAUCCAUCCCAGUUGCCUUGAUUUUUAAAAUCUCUUAUAAAGCAAUGAUCACUGCAUUCAGUACACAACAUAAAUUCCAGUCAAAAAGAGAUGAGACUCUUCUCUUGCAGACUGAUUUGUCCAGAGCCAACACUGUCAUUCCUAAACCAAUCCAAUGGAAAGAUGUCCAUCUUCCAGAGGAAUUGAUUCUUGAAGGAGUUGCUCCACCAGCGAUUCCAAAACAGCUUGAGCCAAAUACAGAGUUGCAAAAUGUUACUCAGUAUUCUGAUGGCAAAGUCAAAUUAUCUUUCAGGAGAUCUAAUUCAACCAGAUUUUCUGAUAAAGAGUCGUGCUCAAGUAUCCCUUCAUUAGAAAGAAAAUUUACAAAAAUUCCCUCUGUCAUAAAUCUUCCUUUUACUGUAAAUAGUCAACCUAGGUUUUCCACUUCGGAUAUACCUAGUUCCUCCAUGCGUUCAGUUGACUAUGCAACUAGUGUUCCCCACCCUAUUUACACUAGUCGCCAGAUACAGGAAGAGAAGGAAUCUUCUCCUCCUACUUCUCCAACGUUUUCUGCUGUCACAGAAAAUGUCAUAAAUGUCCUCGAAAAAGAAUUUGAAUUAGAUAAAAAUCUUUUGCAUAAUGAUUUUUAUUCUGAAUCUAAUAAAGAAAAAAGAAUUUGGUUUUUCAAAUAUUUUUUGAUUCAAAGAAAAGAAAUCCAACAAACUUACUAUGAAUUUGUAAAUUUACAUCAAGUUCAUAUAUUAUUUUUUGAUUGGUUCGAGAUAUACUCUUCUGAUAACAACAUCGAUUAUCCUUUCAAAGGUCAAACCCUAUUACUGUUAGAAAGAAAAUUCCUGAGUGGAAACUAUCUAAUAGCGAUAGAACCAUAGAAUCUGAGCAUCCACCUCUUCGGAGUCUAACCGUUGAUCACGGCGAACUUCCUGUUCAAAUUAGAGCUUCACCUUAUAAAAUCCAUAAGCCAAAUGAUUCUAAUGCAAAUUUAAGUAGUAUUAUACAACAGAAUAAUUUCUGUAAUACUAACUUAAAUACAAUUGGAAAGCAAUUGGCUCGUAUAGAAAAUCAAUUUAAAAAAUCCACCAUUACAGUUUCCCCUAUCUCAUCAAAAUCGGAUUCUGACAAAAAGCUUAAGGAACCUAUUUUCAAACCCUUUCAGGUUUCGAAAACUAGUCAAAAGCUUGUCCAGGAAUCAAAGUCAGAUUUUGCCAAAGCCAUUAGAGAACAACUAGAUAGGAUAGAAGCUACUUCUUCCUCAUCUAGCAAAGUUCAAAUAGCCCCUGAUACUCCUCAAUCUAGUAAGAUUGGAGUAUUAGAGCAUGACCAAACGUCUGUAACCUCUUCUGAUCUAGAAGCUUUUAAAGAAGAACCUGUUCCUAAGACCAACAAAAUCCAUUGGGAUUUAGCCCUUCCCAUAGCCAAGUCUCCACCUGAUUUGGCCAUAGACAAUAGGCCUAGUGCAUUAAAUCAAUCCCGAUAUAAUGCUUCCUCUGUCUAUGAGUGGAAUAUAGAUGGAAUGUCUGAGUACAACAUCCUAGGUGUAUUGCAGCAAAUGACCAUGGCAGCUAAUGCCUAUAAAACCCAAUCAGGAACUUCUGACAAAGCCAUUGCAGAAAUCUUUAUUGCCGGUUUUACUGGUCAACUUAAAGGAUGGUGGGAUCAUCUUCUCACCAAAUUGCAGCAAUUCGAUAUCUUAAACUCAAUACAGAUAGAUGAGAAUGGUGCCCUCAUUCUUGAUGAGUUUAAUAAUCCAAUUCAGGAUGCUGUAGCUACCCUGAUCUUGACUAUAUCCCUCUAUUUCAUAGGUGACCUUUCUCACCUUAGAGACAAAAACGCUGAGUUACUACACAACCUGAGGUGUAGGAAACUUAGUGAAUUCCAAAGCUAUGAAACCACUUUCUUUACCAGACUCUUCCUUAGGGAUGAUGCUAAUCAUACUACUUAGAAGGAAAAAUUCCUUGCAGGUUUACCAACCCUACUAGGAGAAAAGGUUAGAAAUUCCAUUAAAGCCCUUUAUGAUAACCGUAUUCCUUACGAUGAGCUCACCUAUGGUGAACUUGCCAGUUUCGUUAAUAAGGAAGGCUUAAAGAUUUGUCAAGAUUUAAAAUUACAGAAACGACUUAAAUGGGAGCUUAGGAAGUCUAAGCAAGAAUUAGGCAGUUUCUGUAAACAAUUCAAUUAUGACCCCUUUAAGACUUCUACUUCCAAAGAUUGUAAUGGUAAGUGUUCUACAAAACCUUACAAAAAACAUUACAAGUCUAGAUUCCGUAAAAAACCCUUUCAAGAUUUUAGAGAACUUCAUUAUAAGAAACCUUCGAGGCCUUAUAAGAAAUCUAGUUUCUCUAAAAAGAAAGAGUUUAGAGCCAAACCAAAAACCCCUUUCAAAACCCCUUUUAAUUACAAAGAAGCCAUUUGUCACAAAUGUGGUAUAAAAGGCCACACUGCAAAGUAUUGCAGAAUGAGCAGAAAGCUUCACGAGCUUGACCUAGAUGAGGAAACCCUCUCCAAAUUGACCUCUCUGCUCAUAGAGUCUUCUGACUCUGAGUCUUCCAUGUCGGGAGAUAGUGACCCUCUCCAAGUUGAUGAGUUAAUUGACUCAGAUGAUUCUGCAUCUAGCAGUAGUGAUUCUGAAUCAAAUUCUUAUUUAAAGAAAAUCAAUGUUUUGACUAAAGACCAAGAAAUUUUUCUGGAACUUGUUAAACAUAUUUCUGAUCUGAAUAUUCAAAAAGAAUAUCUUGAUAAACUUUUGAAAACUCUGGAUUCUAAUAAAGCAGAAACUUCUAAAGUCCCAAUCGUUAAAAAGAAUUCUUACGAUCUCACUGAAAUUCUGGAUAAAAAGAAAACAAAAAAGUCAAUUCCCAAUAUCCAAGAUCUUCAUAAAGAAAUCAAAGAUAUCAAACUUGAAAUUAAAGAAUUAAAAGAAAAAUAAAAAAAAUGAUUCUGAUACUAUUCAACUCCUCAUACAAAAACAAUUAGAAAAUAAUUCUGAAAAAGAAGUUGAAUUUGAAAGUGAUAAUGAACAAAAAAUUGACAACAUUGAAUCAAUACCAAAUGAUUUUUUGUUUGUUUUAAAACAAAUCACUACCCGAAAAUAUUUAAUUAAAAUUACUUUGAUUUUUUCCAAAGACUUUGCUAUAGACGCCAUUGCCCUUUUUGACACUGGCGCCGAUCUAAAUUGUAUAAGAGAAGAUAUAGUCCCCAAAAGAUUUCAUGAAAAAACAAAAGAAAGGCUUUCUGCCGCCAACAAUUCAAAACUUAAAGUCAAUUCUAAAGUUGAAGCCUCAAUCCAAAACAAUGUUUAUGAAUUUAAAACUUCAUUUCUUCUUACAAAUGACAUACACCAUACUGUCAUUUUAGGAACCCCAUUUAUAAAUUUAAUCACCCCGUAUACUGUCGAUUACGAUGGUAUAUCCUUCGAAGUAAAAUCCAAAAAACUUGUUUUCCUUUUAUUGAGAAACCAAAAACAAGAAAUUUAAAUAUUGUUAAAGCUUGUUCUGUUUACCAAAGCCAAAUCAACGCCAUCCUUAAAUCUAAACAAAAUGACUUAUCUUGUUUAAAAAAGGAUUUAAAUCUAUAAAGAAUUGAAAGCCAAUUACAAACUGAUUUUAUACAAAGAAAAAUCUCUGAUUUUAAAAAACUCAUUGAAAAAGAAAUAUGUGCCGAUUUAUCAUCUGCUUUUUGGGAAAGAAAACAACAUUUGGUAGAUUUGCCCUAUGAAAACUCUUUUAAUGAAAAACAAAUACCCACAAAAGCUCGUCCAGUCCAAAUGAACAUGGAAUUGGAACAACACUGUAAAAAUGAAAUACAAGAUUUAGAAACCAAAGGACUCAUUGUAAAAUCCAGAUCCCCAUGGUCUUGUGCCGCUUUUUAUGUCAAUAAAAAUUCCGAAAUUGAAAGAGGAACACCAAGACUUGUAAUAAACUAUAAGCCCUUGAAUAAAGCAUUAAAGUGGAUCAGGUAUCCAAUACCUAAUAAAAAAGACUUGCUCCAAAAACUUUGUUCUGCCUUCAUCUUUUCUAAAUUUGACAUGAAAUCUGGCUUUUGGCAAAUCCAAAUUCACCCUAAUGACCGUUACAAAACUGCUUUUACUGUUCCCUUCGGACAGUAUGAGUGGACUGUAAUGCCAUUUGGCUUAAAGAAUGUACCCUCAGAGUUUCAAAGAAUUAUGAAUGACAUUUAUAACCCCUUACUCUGAGUUUUGUAUUGUCUAUAUAGAUGACGUGUUGAUUUUUUCUCAAACUAUUGAUCAACAUUUCAAACAUUUAAAGACUUUUUAUUUUGCCACUAGAAAGGCUGGACUAGCCCUUUCUAGUUCAAAAAUUUCAUUAUUUCAAACAAAAGUCAGAUUCCUUGGUCACUACAUUUCUAAAGGAACUAUCACGCCUAUUGAGCGAUCACUUUUGUUUGCAGAUAAAUUUCCUGAUAAAAUUCUUGAUAAAACCCAACUACAAAGAUUUUUAGGAAGUUUAAAUUAUGUUCUUGAUUUCUGUCCAAAUAUUAACCGGAUGUCUAAACCUUUGCAUGACAGAUUAAAAAAAAAUCAUGUUGCAUGGACAGAUGAACACACUAAAGCUGUUCGAUUAAUAAAAAAUUCUGUAAAGAACAUCCCUUGUUUAUUUUUAGCAAAUCCUACAUUACCUAAAAUAGUCGAAACAGAUGCAUCUGAUUUAGGUUAUGGAGGUAUAUUAAAACAAAAGGAAAAUGAUAAAGAACAGAUAGUACAGUAUGUUUCUGCACAUUGGAAUGAUUGCCAAAAAAAUUAUUCUACUAUCAAAAAAGAAAUUAUUUCUAUUGUUUUAUGCAUAUCUAAAUUCCAAAGUGAUUUAUUAAAUCAAAAAUUUUUACUUAGAAUUGAUUGCAAAGCUGCAAAACAUGUUUUGGAAAAAGAUGUUCAAAAUAUUGCUUCAAAACAAAUUUUUGCAAGAUGGCAAGCCAUUUUAAGUGUUUUUGAUUUUGAUAUUGAAUUUAUUAAAGGAGAUAAAAAUUCUGUUCCUGAUUUUCUAACCAGAGAAUUUCUUCAAAACAGAUAAUGCCGCCAAAGAGGAAGGAUAAAGGUAAAGCUGUUCUUAAAGACACUGAGUCCCAGGCAACCUCUAAAGAACCUCAACCAACUCCUUCUAAAAAAAAAUUGCUUUCUUCCGCCAUGCCUAUCAAAUCCUGGAUAGAAAUGGUUGAAGAGCAUGAAGCCCAGUAUAAAAUCAUUUCCUCUGAUGACCAAGUAAAACAAUGGAUGAGUUCCAUUACAAAAUCCCAUGAGCUUAUGCUCGCUCUACAAAGCUUUUCUCAAAGCCAAACUUCUCCUAAGCUACAAAUUGAAAAGGAAAACCCUAUUUCCAAGGAGAUUUCAAAGCCCUCUUCUCAAAAUGUUGUUGUUUCUAGUGAAAGCUCAUCCUCUCAAAUUGUGCUUUCUCAGCCAACACCUUCAAAGAAAACUUCCGAUUGGUUUGAUAAAACCCAUUUUCAAAACAUUUUAUCUAUGGAAGAUGGAUUUUACCAUACUGAUCCUUUUCAAGCAAUUUCAAAGUUUUUCCCUAAAGGCUGAUUUUUUAAACCAUGUGAUUUAACAAAACCCCAGUCUUAUUAUCAAAGCAUUUUAGAAGUUACUGAGUCAGUAAAAUUCAAACAUUUCUUUCUCAGUGAAACCCAUUCAGGGCCAGCCUAUUCCACGGCUACUAUCUUAAAAGUCUUGAGCCCAAACCAGUGGGGUGACCUACUCCACAAUUUUAAAACCUUCCCUCUAAAUUUUCAAACACGUUUACCACAUUGUCGGACCUAUUCCUACUGGGAUUACCAACAAGCCUGGUAUAACACAUUUUUUAUCCAAAACCCCAAAAAAUCCCAUUCUUGGUUAUUUUUCUUCAAUUCAAAAAUAACCGUUCAAAGCCUCCCAAACUGGUUUCAUCAUUGGUGGAAUUUUUUUGGCCCAAUACCUCAAAUCCUAACUCUAAAUGCAACCCAAUGUUUAAACCUCUUUAAAACCCACUAUAUCCCUUCUGAAUCCAAGAAAAGGUUUCCUCCCUUUCUCUGUUUCUGUACAAAUUUCUUCCUACCAUGGGUUUGGAUGUGGAACCUCAGACUCCAUACCCAAGAUGCCCAGCUUAUAUUGCAAAGAACAUUCAAAGUAAAAUGGUGGUCAAAAUUUGAUGAGAAGACCAAAUUAACCGAUACUCUCAUCCGAAAUUGGCUGUCUACCAAAGGUUUUCUACAGCCGACCUUAACAGGCUCCAAAGCCCAACACACCUUCCUUACCCAAAAAUCCAAAGCCCAGUCUCUUUUGGCAAGCGCCAAAACUGAAGAAGAAUAUUUCAAAGUUAUGGAACAACUCCUCACCUCUCGGUCAAAGUCAUCAGUAGCAGACUCCUCUAAAGACGAAGAUGAAGAUCAAGAGCCAUUCAUUUCCCUUGGAGAUGAAAAUGAAGACGACUGUUUUGGAAUUUUCUCUCCAAUAAAGCAUUGUAAAUAGUUGUUGCAAAAAAAAAAAAAAGUAAAUACUCAUUCUGUAUUUCCAUUUUGUACGAAUAUUUGUACCGUCGGGUGGUCCCUUGGACACAAGUGAGAGCGCACAUGUCUCUUCACCCGAAUUAAAAUUAAAAAGCACUAUAUGUUCCAAAGGUUACUGUUUCAAGAAGCUCCGCUUCCACUACAGUAAAAAGUUCCAAAGUUUACUGUAUGCUACAGCUCCGCUACAAUCUACAGUUUAAAAACUUUUUCAAAGCCUUGUAUUUAAAUCGAGAGGAAGACUUAGACUCCUCAGAUUUCUUUCAGUUCUGAAUUCUCUCUUCUCUCUCUCUCUCUAGUCUCUCUCUCUCUCUCUCCCACUCUCCCUGGGAAGUCUGGAUCAAGACAUCCAGGAAACCAUCCUGUCUUGUAAAUGAUCAAGACAUCAAGGAAGUUUCCUGUCUUGUAAUCUUCCCGUCUUUCAAUCUUUCUUAAAAAGACAGAUCUAUAAAAAUUGUAUCAAGCACAAAGCUUCAAAGCAAGAUGUAUGAUUUAUGAUUCAAUUAUUUAAAUUAAAGCAUUGUAAUUUAAUUUCAAAGCAUUAAAUUUCCGCAAUUUACUUUACAGUAUUUAAAUUCCAGUAAUUUAAAUUUAAAGCAUGCUUGCAGACUGAUCUGUAUCAGAUCUGCCAUAUAAUUGUUACAUUCCUCUAAGGCAACGAGACCAGAUCUCAAUCCUCAGUUGUAUUCUUUCUCUUCUCCCUCCAUUCCUUCAGAGCACUAUUUUCGGGAACCGGAUCUAGUACUGUGUAUGCACCCAAACCUUUAGAUGUAUAUUUGUUGCUAGGCUUGCUUAACGAACCUAAUAUUUAAACCUGGUAAAAAUAUUUGAGUCGUUUCGUAAAUAUAUAUAUAUAUAUAUAUAUAUAUAUAUAUAUAUAUAUGUGUGUGUGUGUGUGUGUGUGUGUGUGUGUGUGUGUGUGUGUGUGUGUGUGUGUGUGUGUGUGUGUGUGUGUGUGUGUGUGUGUGUGUGUGUGUGUGUGUGUGUGUGUGUGUGUGUGUAUAAUUCAUAUACAAUAAUUCUCAAAUCCAUAUCCACAAGUUUCAUAAAUUAUAAUCCUGUUAUGAAAUAAAAUAACUACAAUAAUUAUAGUUAAAUAAAUACUUCAUCAGUUAUUAGCUUGUUUCCUAAAAUAAUGACUACAGUUUCUUAAAUGAACAAUCUUGAAUAAGAUUUUAUAAGCCACCAACAACACUGCUUGACGAAACCAUCCCAAUAAACCAACAAUAAUCAGCUGAAUGAAGCACCAAACUGCCAUCUCAAUAAACCAUGAUUGAAUUAACAUCAGUACGUCAAGAACAAUCUUGAAUUAACACGAAGAACAAACCAAACUGCCAUCAAAUGCGACACAGUCUCAUACUGCCAUCAAAUGCAAGUAACAUAUUCAACAAAACCAAAUGCAAGUGAGAUGCUAGAAAACAUGAAAUAAACUAAACCAAAUGCCACUAGAUUCACACUUCUGGUAGUUAAAAUAGAUGUUUUGUUUAAUUAAACUAAACGUAGUUUGAUACUGACAUUACAUUGAAAAAUCCAAAAAGGCAGGUUUCCAUACGAGAAGAUUUAAAACCAAACCAAUGUAAUCCAAUAUAUUACAAGCUCAACCCAAACAACUAUACAUUAUAUUGACAUAUCAAAACUGGCUCUCAAACCAAGCUAAUGCAGCCAAGUAAAUGAACAUGAGAACUCAAAACAGGCCUACACUAACCAAAGUAUUUAAUAAACAGCUCCUCACCUUAUAUGAGCACUCAGACAAAGUUCAUCCAUUCAUACCGUACCUCAUCCAUUUCUGCCUGAGUGUAAACUGGUUUGUUGUUAAACUGCAAAUGGCCAAAUGAUUUAACAGCAAAUAUGAUGGACAAAAAAUAUUAACCAAUUAUCGACAUAAAACAUAUCACUUACAUUGUUGAGCAAUAAACUAGGAUCGACAAUAAUAUCCCUCAUAUACAGCAUGACGUAAUAUCUACACUCAUAAGAACCAGGUUGUUUUGGAACCUACAAUAAUAAAACUUAAUCUAAGUACCUAAAAAGCUAUAACAAGUAGUUAAUUAAAAUGAUAGGAAAAAGUAAAUUGUAUUACCUGUACCAUUUUGAAUUCAGGGUGCACUUUUUUUUUACCGCUCGUUGCUGCGAAUAUGUUGAUCCCACUAGGAGAAAUUUAUUGUUAGAACUACUGAAAUGUUUAUAAUGGAUGUAACAUUCUGUAAUGAUUUAACGAUGAUAUACCUACUUUAUUACCAACUCUUUAAUAUCUUCCGCUGGACUAUUUCCGUGCACAUCCAUGAAAUAUCCAGUCUUUGCAGCCAUAUCGAUCACAACAAGAAUUCAAUGAGAGCUAUAAUUGAGCAACAACUUUUCAGUAAGAAGAAAUGAAAAUUAACAACCUGCUUAUUAAUAAAAAUGAAUAUAAAUGAAAAUGAAUAUACCCAGGAUUGUAAGGAAUGAAUAUGAAUUGAGAGGGGCGAGCUUUGGCCAAACGAUUAGCAAUUGCUUGUGUCCUUGUUAUGCGUGUUUUAAGCGCAUUUUCAACUAUGCUGGGGCUAACAUGACUAGGAUUCAUAUAGCCAAAUGACUUGCCCAUUUUAUCAGCUGGAAUCAUGUCAUAUAAACAACUGAUAUUCACACAUAAAGCAAGAAUUAAUUCUUUAUAUAAUCUUUUAAUAGAUUUUGAUAAUUAAAAAAGGAAAAAGAUAUUACUUACGCCAUAUAGAUAUGCAUGUGAUUAAGGCCUAACCAUUCCAUGAUAGCCAAUGCAUAACAAUCACCUCUCCCGAUAUAAACCAGACAUUCACUUUCAAAUACCUCAUUAUCAAGUGGAUAAGGAAGGCAAUUUCCACUGGCAGGCAACUUCAUAUUACAUAAGCCUAAAAAGAAUUUAAAUCUUGGAUUCACUGUGGUGUUCUGUUGGUGCUGAGCAGUUGCUUGCCUUGUCUUUCUUUUUCGAACUACAUGGCCAUCAUCACCACAAUCUUUAAGUUUGGUCUUCCGAACCAGUGCUUUAUCAGGUUUGUCCAUUGCUUUUUUUUUCAUUGCUGUCUGUGCACUUUUCUUUUUGGGGCUGCCAUGUCUCGUGUUUGGAGUUUCAAGGAGAUUGCCUAAAUCUCCCAGCUCGUUGUUUGUUGUUUUGGGUCUUUUUUUUUUUUUUUUUGGGCUACCCUUUCUUUUCUUUGGAGUCUCGGGGAAUUUACCAAAGUCUUCUAGUAUCUUAAUUGCAGUUUUAUGCUUUUUGUUGUUGGGGUUGUCUUUUUUCCUCUUUGGAUCCCCACCAUUCUUUCUUGAAAAUGUUGCUGUUGAUUUUAAGUUAUGUUUUGAAACCUAUAAGGCCAUUUCCAUUAUUACAAAACAAGAAAUUUAGGGUAACUAUCGUUUAUCAUGAUGUAGAACAAAAUAGUUUGUGCAGUACCUCCUGUUCAUCAUUUCUUCUAUCUGAACUUAAAGAUAAUUUUUUUGCAUUCCAUCCAGCCCUCAUCUAGGUAUUAUUCAAUGACACUUUUUAUCAAAUAUUGAUAUAAAAAACAUAAUUGUUGUUAUAACAUAUAUACAAACCAACACUUACAAGGCUAUCAACGAUAACUUGAACAUCAAGAUGAUAUCAUUCAUUUUUUUUCUCCUACUUCUGAUCCAAGCUCACUCAUGUCUAUUUGAUCCUCACUAAGACCAGUUUCAGCACUCUGAAAAAUUAAAGUUAGGUUGUAAAUUAGAAGCCCCCUCAAACUAUUCCUAAUGAAAAUGUAGGCAAAUAAUACAAGCAAAAGAAUGCAACCAAAUAUAUAUCUUUAAGAACCUACUAUAACUUUCAAAUGCAACCAACCAGAAUAUAAAUAUACUUACAAUUUCUUCCAACAGUCCAACAUAUCCUUUUUGACUCAAACAAUGGUUAUACUUAUUACUAGCACGCAUUUUUUGUUUCUCCUUUAUUUUCUACCAUAAAUCACAAACCAAUAUCAAUGUAAUGUUAUACUCAAUCGUUAGUAUUAUAUAGCAUUUAACUAAAAUUUCCCAUGAGAAAAUAUUGAAUAAGAUUCAAUUUACGCACUGCAAACUUAUCAUCAAUAUGAUCUUCGACGAACGAGUCCCAAUAGUCUUGUCUUAUGUAGUAGUAUCACAAAAGAGGUUUCUGUAACUUUUUACGGUCAUUCUUAUUUGGCAAAAUGUACCCAUUAGUCAAAGUGUACUUAAAAUUCUUGAACAACUUUCCAAUAGAUUGCAGUACAUGCUUUUUACUUCGUUCAUGAAUGAUAAAUCGUCUCUGCAUAAUGACAUUUUUCCAACAUUUAUGGUAUGAAAAACAGUAGAUAAACCAGGUUAUCGUACCGAAUGGGAAACAAAAAAUAGAUUUUAUACCUGAACAAAUGACCACAAUGCUUCUUUAUAAUUAUCUGGCACUAAUCUCCAAUCCUUGAAGAUGAUUGGAACAGAAACACGAGCCAACACUCUAAGAAAAGUGGACAAUGCAGUGGCCUCUGGACCAACAGGAACACCAUAUCUAUUGUAUCUCACAACAAUUUUCCCAUUUUCAGUCCUCAAAUUCUUAUUAUCAGGAUUAAGAGUCAAGCCUUUUUGUGAUGAUAAAUCUUUUGAAAAUUGAUCCUCUUCAUUUCCAAGUUCUGCAUCUCCAUCAUCCUCCAAAUGAGUAGGAGAACAAAGUAAAUCAUCAAAAUCAUCAAAGCCAUCAUCUCCUUUUGGCACUUGAUCAUCUUCAUUGGAGUAACACUGUUUCUCUUCAUCAUUGAUAGGUUCAUCAUUGAAAUCCAUUGUUUAAUACCUGAAAACAACCAAGACAAAUUUCCAAAAUAAGCUUGGUUAGUAAAAGAGCACAGAAAAAAAAAUCAAAGUAUUAGCUUGCUAUAAAAAAAGUAAUGUAAAAUACAGAUUAAUUACAAGUAAAAUAAUAAUUACAAUUCAAUAUAUAAUACAUUUUAGCUCUAACCACAUGUAAUUAUGUUCUACUAAUACUCUAAAAUGUUGAUCUUGUCACUGUUCAAUCUCAAUGGCCUCACCAUCCUCCCUUACAUAGUCUACUUGAUUGUCGUCAUUACAUACAUCAAUUCUAGUUAUACUUGGCAAUUCUUUGGUGAAAGGAACUUGUUCCUUCGUAAUAUGCACAUCCACAUCAUUUCCAAAAUUGGGAAUUCCUCUAAAAGGCAUGAGCAAACAACUGAUCAUUUCUUAUCAACUGGGUCAGUAGCAUAAAAUACUUGUUUGGCGUAUGAAGCCAAAAUAAAAGGAUCGAACUUAUGGCCUAUUCGAUGGAGGUCCACCAACAUGAAGCCAAGUUCAUCAACUUUUACACCACCCCUAUUUUUUUUACCCAAUCACACUUGAAUAAAGUAAUCUUAAACAUAUGGUAGUCAAGUUGCCAAAUCUUAUCAAUUACUCCAUAAUAGGCCAUAUCACCAAUUUUAGGAUUUUUGUCUUUAAAGUGGCUAUUUGCAUUGUUUCUGCAACAACAGUCACGCCACAAUUUUGGGUCACUCAGUUCUCAUCACAUUUUCGUGUUAGAAAUUGAAAAUCAUUGAUGCAAUAACUCUCCCCUUUUUUUAUGAUGACAAACUUUUCAAGAAAAUAUUUGUCAAUUUUUGCUCCCCCUAAGUAUAUGGCCAUUAAUUUUUAACCAUAAAAAAAUGUAUUGAAUAAAAAAAAUUAUUCAUCAAAUUAUAUAUAAUCCAUAUCUCCCCCUUCAUUAUAAAAAAGAAAUGAACUCGAAAAGAUUAAAGAGAGAAUUUCAGAUAUUACCCAUGUCGUGCAAAAAUUUCGGCAGAAUCUCCCCUUAAAAAUGAACAUAUCCUAAAAAACAAUAGUUAAAACACUCCCAUAUAAAGUUCAAAUUAUCCACCAACCUCCAUACCAACAAAUUCAACAUUACCAUAAGUAAAACUCAAACAUAUCAUCAAAAUCAACACAAUCACAAACAAAGUUCAAAUAUCCAACAAAAUCAUCAUAAAAUCAUCAUAAGCACAAUAAAAAGAUAAGAUAGUAUCAUAAGAACUACAUGAGAUGAGUAAUGUUUGUGCAAAAUGCAUAGGUGCAGAAACUAAAAGGGAGGCUGGGAAGAGGAAUUGCUUGGAUCAUAACCAAGGUGACCAAGGAUACGGCGCUGUCCAGCAAGUAGUUCCAUCUACUGAUCUAAAAUCUGCUGCUGAAAGGUCUCAAAUAUGGAUUGGAGCUGUUGCUGCUGGGGGAGUGCAUCCACUUUGUCGAACAGCUAUUGAAGGCGGUCCUCAGAAACAGAGGAUGCCGCAAGAGGCACAGCUGGCUUGACUGGCUCCUCAUCCUGAGAUGGGGUUGCUGUUGCUCGUCGAGGGACACGAGGUCUAGCUCCAAGUCAAAAGUCAGGUAACUCAUCCUCGGAAUAAACGUUAUUGAGCAUUCGAUCAUCAUCAGGAGCUAUCAAGUGUCCUCAUUCUUAGAGGAUUUAACCUUGAUCCAUUUGCCUCGCCUCCAAUGAAAACCAAUCCCCGAAAUUAUUUCCCUACCCAUUUUUUUUGUCCCAACAUAGACAGGUUCGGUCAAGGGAACGUGAAAGUGUCGAAAAAGCUUACUGAUAAUGCUACUAUAUGGAAGAGACCUGUUAGACACAGCAGGGAUAGAGAGCAUAUGACGCAUAAUAGUGAAUGCAAGGUGCACUUUCCUUCCUCGGAUGAGAGAGUCAAGUAAACCGAAAUCUCUAUAUUAGAGUAAAAUACCCUAACUAGGUUUUCAUAGACUCGUUCUUCAAUGCCUAAGGCUUCACCCCAUUUUCUUAGCAUUUGAGGCAAAGUUCUACCAUAUAUAGUAAUAUCAGAGAAGUCGUCAAUAUCAAUAUAGAAUGAAGAAGUUACCGCUUUUCCCAUGAAGUUCUUGUGAAAUCGUUGAGCCAAGUGAUCAUUUGGAAAAUGUAGACUGUCAAAAUCCUGAGAAAGAGGCCUGGAGGAACUAAGAUUACUUGGAGCUGCUUGCUUGGUUCGGGCUUGUCUCUGUCGUGUAGCCAUUGAUAGUUUUGGAAGAAAUAAAAUCAGUAUAAAGCAAGUUGAAGAGUAUAGAGAGUGAUUGCAAUUGAAAUUUGAUGAAAAAUUAAAGAAAAUCCAGUCAAAAUUAGCAAGAACAAGUCGGCUGGUUCUAGGGUUUGGAAAUUAGGAUUUUUCAAUUUUGGAGUUACAAACUAGUUUUAAUCAGUUUACAAGAUUCAUGUGAGGGUAAUAAUUGAUUUUAAAGGUUCGAUUUUGUGAGAAAUAGCAAGAAAAAUGGUGGAUUUGAGAGGGAGAGACGGGUGCAGUUGCGGAGAUGAGAGAGAGAGAGAGUUAAGGGCAAAAUGAAAUGAAGAAGGAGAUGAGUGACUGUGCACUUAUCGCGCAAUAUCGGCGAGGCAUUUUAGAGAUAUCGGCGAACAGCGCCCAAAGAGCUUGUCAAAAAAAAUUUCUUGCAAACGGCGAGCCGUUAUAGAGAUAUCGGCGAACCGACAGCGCCCAGAGAGCCUAUCAAAAAAAAUUUCUUGCAAACAGUGAGCUAGAGAUAUCAGCGAAUUGACAGCGUCAAGAGAGCUUGUCAAAAAAAAUUUCUAUUUCUUGAAAACGGCGAGUCGUUAUUGUGAUAUCGGCUAACUGAUAGUGUCCAGAAUGUUUGCCAAGCUUUCUGCCUGAAAACGAUUAGCCGUUUAUUGCGAUAACGACAAUCCGUUUUCUACAACUUAUGAUUUCGCACAUCUAUUUUAGUAUUUGGCCAUAAAUAAUACAUUCCAAGAUCAUUUCAGUGACCCAAAAACAUUUUAAGGGCCAGUUUAAUGCAUGAUUCAUGAAAGUACAUGUAUUUAAACAAUUAAUUCAUACAUACAUUCAAAGAUUAAUAAUACAAACAUACCACUUGUAUAUCAUGCUUAAGCAUUUCAUAAAUAUUAAAUCAUCAAUCAAUCAAUCAAUUCAAUAGACUCAAUAACAUGAAUAAAAAUGUUAAUGCGAAAAUUUCAUCAUCCCAAGUUCAUGCCGAAUUUUUGAAAAUUGAUCUUUGCAAAAAGGUUUUGUAAAAAUAGUAGCAAGUUGUUUUUUCAUAGAAAUAAAAUAUAACGCAAUAUCUCCUUUUUUAGCAUGAUCUCUCAAGAAAUGAUGUCUAAUUUCUAUAUGCUUGAUUCUAGAGUGCUGAAUGGGAUUAUUUGAAAGAUUUAUAGCACUAGUGUUAUCACACUUAAUAGGAUUUUGUUCAAGAUUAAUGCCAUAAUCUCUAAGUGUUUGUUUCAUCCAAAGAGCUUGUGCACAACAGCUCCCUGCGACAAUAGUAAAUGACAAGUUCCACUAGUACUUUUCCUAUCAACUUUGUAACUGGCAAAAUCCGCAUUCGAAUAACAUGUUAAAUCUAUAUGAGUUCCUCUAGGAGACCAAAGACCAAGAUCUACGGUUCCACUCAAAUAACGAAAAAUUCUUUUUACAACAAUCAAAUGAAAUUCCUUGGGACAUGAUUGAAAUCUUGCACACAAACAUACACUAAACAUGAUAACGGGUCUACUUACGGUUAAGUAAAGUAAAGAUCCGAUCAUAUCUCGAUACAUUUUGAUAUCAACUUCUUUACCUUUUUCAUCUUUGUCAAGCUUGGUUGUUGUGCUCAUUAGAUGUUUUUGGUCUUGAGUCAUCAAUGCCAAAUCUCUUGAGUAGGUCUUUCACAUACUUGGCUUGAUUUAUAAAAAUUCAUUCCUCAUUUUGUUUUAUUUGUAGCCCAAUGAAGUACUUCAAAUCUCCCAUCAUACUCAUUUUAAAUUCUUUACUCAUACAAGAUGAAAAUUCUUUACAUAACAAUUCAUUAAUAGAACCAAAAAUAAUAUCAUCAAUAUAAAUUUUAACAAUAAGAAUAUCUUGGUUCUUAUGCUUAACAAAGAGAGUAGUAUCCGUUUUACCCAUCAAAAAACUAUUAUCCAACAAGAAAUUCUUAAGCCUAUCAUACCAUGCUCUAGGCCCUUACUUUAAUUCAUACAAUGCUUUUGACAACUUAUAAACAUGAUUUGAAAAUUUUUCAUUUUCAAAACCAGGGGGUUGUUUCACAUAAAUUUCCUCCAUACUAUAGCCAUUUAAGAACACAUUUUUGACAUCCAUUUGAAAUAAAAUGAAAUCUUUAUGAUAUGCAAAUGCUAAUAGCAUCCUAAUGGAUUCUAGUCUAGCUAUAAGUACAAAUGUUUCAUCAAAAUCAAUUCCCUCUUCUUAGUUGUAACCUUGAGCCACUAGUCUAGCUUUAUUCCUUACAACCACAUUGGAUUCAUCCAUUUUAUUUCUAAAUACCCAAUUAGGGUCUAUAAUGGAUUGAUGUUCCGGUAUAGGAAUUAAUUCCCACACAUUAUUUCUCUCAAAUUGAUUAACUCCUCUUGCAUUGCCAUAAUCCAAGAUUCAUCAUUUUCCGCAUCCGCAAAGGAUUUUGGUUCAAUUUGAGAUAUGAAUGCAGCAUGCUCACAAGUAUUUCUAAAUGAUGAUCUAAUUGUUAUGCCACUUGAGAGAUCUCCUAAAAUCAAGUCCUUAGAAUAAGAAGAAACAUACAUUCACUCCUUAGGGAGUGAUUGAGAAGUACCUUCAUUUUGCUCCGCAUUUGUUUCUUCAUGUUGCUCCUCUUGAUUUUCAUGUGGUGCAUCGUUGUGGUUAUCCUUUGAUGACUCUUUUUAUAGUUCUUCAUCUGCAUCAUUAUCAACAACAACUUUCUCCACAGAGGAUGGGUUAGAUUCAUCAAACGUAACAUGCAUAGAUUCUUCCACAAUUAGAGUUCUUUUGUUAUAAACUCUAUAAGUUUUGCUUGAGUUUGAAUACCCAAGAAAAAUGCCAACAUUGGAUUUUGUAUCAAAUUUGCCAGGAUCAUCUUUUGUGUUCAAAAUAAAACAUUUGCAUUCAAAAACUUUGAAAUAACCAAUGUUAGGUUUUCUAUCUUUCCAAAGCUCAUAUGGAGUUUUAUUAAGAUGAUGUCUAAUCAACACACGAUUUAAAACAUAACAAGCAGUGUUGAUGGCCUCGGCCUAAAAAUACUUAAGCAAAGAAUUUUCAUUCAACAUAGUCCUAAUCAUUUCUUAAAUCGACCAAUUCUUUCUCUCAACAACUCUAUUUUAUUGUGGAGUUCUAGGUGAUGAAAAUUGAUGAACAAUACCUAAAUUAUUGCAAAAGGUUUCAAAUACAUGGUUUUCAAACUCUCCUUCAUGGUCACUCCUAAUACAUGAAAUACCAUAUCCUUUUUCAUUUUGAACUUUCUUACAAAAUACUUUAAAAGUAUCAAAAGCAUCAUCUUUAUUAGCUAAAAAUAAUACUCAUGUGUAUCUAGAAAAAUCAUCAAUUAUUACAAAGGUAUAAUACUUCCUACUUAAGCUAGCAUACCUUGAAGGUCCAAAUAAGUUUAUGUGAAGUAGUUGAAGAGAUUUAGAAGUAGAAACAUGAUUUUUACUUUUAAAAGAGGUUUUGAUUUGUUUUCCAAAUUGGCAAGCUUAACAAAUUAUAUCUUUUUGAAAAUCAAUUUUUGGAAGACCUUUAACUAAAUUUUUAAAAAUCUUUGAAAUCAAAUCCAUACUUGGAUGUCCUAGUAUUCUAUGCUGUAACCAACCAUCAUCAUGCAAUGCGGAAAACAUUUAUCAUGUGUAGAUGCACAAUCUAUAUCAAUGGUACAAACAUUAACACAUCUAUUUCCUAUAAACAAUAUUUUGUCAUCACAUGCAUUCUCAAUCACACAUCUAUUCUUAUAAAAAAUAACUUUAUAACCCUUAUCACACAGUUGACUAAUGUUAUCAAAAUUAUGUUUUAAGUUUUCAACCAAACAUACAUUUUUAAUAAAAUUAGAGGAUACAUUACCAACAUUUCUGAUACUAAUGAUUUUUCCUUUUGAGUUAUCUCCAAAUGAUACGUUUCCACCGUUUUCAAUCUUGGUAAAACUUGAAAACCAAGAGUAAUUCCCUGUCAUGUGUCUUGAACAUCUACUGUCCAAGUACCAUUUAUUUUUCUUCUUCUUUGAUCCAUGCAGAAAAAAUUUCUAAGUUUUAGGUACCUAAAACUUCUUGGGUCCUUGUAUGUUAGCAAUGGUUCCUUUUGGAACCCAAAUACAUUUCAUACCAUAAUAUGCAUUUCUUUUCAUUGGACAUCUAUUUUUCAUGUGCUCAUCUUGAUUACAAUAAUAACAUACAACUUGAUUAUUAAUAGGGGUACUCUUCACAAAGUAAUUCUUAUAAUAAUUUGCCUUAUAACCAAUACCUCCUUUGUCAAACACACAUUUUUGUGAAUUGAGCAUGUUAUCCAACAUCUUUUCCCUAUUUGUAAAUUUUAGCACAAUUUCAUUUAGUUCAUUAUUCUUCUUCUUAAGCACUUCAUUCUCUUUCAUCAAUUCAUCUACAUGUGAUUUUUCAUACUCAUACGAAGUAUUUUGUUUACCUUUAAAGAUGCAAUCUUUUCAUGCAACAUUUUAUUCUCUAAUUCUAAUUCUUUUUAUCUUCUCAUUAUUGCAUUUUUCUAGGGCAUCCUUUUUCAUUUGUAAGUUCUAACAUUUUCUUUUUAAGGCAUAUAUUCUUUUUACCAAUUUUCAUCCACUCAUCAUGCAAUUCUUUAAAAGCAUCAUAUAAUUCAUCAUGUGUAGGAAAAUCACUUACCUCAUCAAGUUCAUCCAAUGAUUCUUCCCCGAUCGCCAUGAGAGCUAGAUUUGUCAUUUUUUUAUGUUCAUUAUCAUCACUAGUUUCAUUAUCGCUAUCAUCCCAUGUGGCUACUAUUGCUCUCUUUUUGAGGUUGUUGAGAAGAGGACAUUCAGACCGGAUGUGUCCAGGCUUUUUGCAUUCAUAGCAAGUGAUUGACUCCUUCUUCUUCUUUUGGUUCUUGAAAUUUCUGAACUUUCUCCGCUCACUAGUUUUUUGUAGAAUUUUCUAAAUCUCCUAGUCAGCAUAGCCAUCUCCUCAUCAUCUGGCUCACUUUACCUAUCACUCUUAUAUUUUGAGGUUUUGAAAGCAAUGCUUUUCUCCUUCUCCUCAUUGCCUUUUUUCGCUGCUAAGUCUUCUUCAUAAGAGAUAAGAGAGCCAAUUAAAUCAUCAAUAGGUAAGGUAUUUAAAUCUUUGGCUUCCUCAAUUGCAGUCCUCUUAGGUCUCCAUUCUUUUGGAAGUGACUUAAUGAUUUUCUUGACUUUCUCACUAUUCGAAAAAGUAUUUCCUAGGGCUCCUAGGGUGUUUACUAUGUCCAUAAAUUGUGUAUACAUAGAAUACACACUUUUAUUUUGUUCCAUUUGGAACAAUUCGUAUUGACGAGUGUAUAUACUAAUUUUAGACUCUUUAACUUGGUUUGUCCAUUCAUAAACAACCUCAAGUUUAUUUCAUAUUUCUUGUGCACUCUCACAACUAGAUACUCUAUGGAAUUUUUUCUUAUCAAGAGCACAAAAUAAGGCAUUCAUUGCUUUGGAGUUUAAGGACAUCUUUUUCUUUUCUAAUUCACUCUAUUGACUUGAAGGUGUUGGAAUAUCAUCUCAUACUUCAUUUUUAGUUAUAGGCAUGAAUGGGCCAUCAUAAAUAACUUUCCAAAUUUCGUAAUCUAAGGCUUGCAAGUAAAUUCUCAUCCUAUUUUUCAAAUAUAGGUAGUCAUUACCAUUAAAAAAUGGUGGCCCAGUUGUGAAUUGUCCUUCCCUAAAAGUAUAGUCAUUUUGGGUUGCCAUGAAUCUUUUACUCUAGACGGUUAAGUCCUAACAAGAGAACCUUGCUUUGAUAACAAAUGAAAUACUAUCUAAGCAAUCCAAGAGGGUGAAUUGGGUUAUCAAAACUUAUGCAAAACAAACCACAUAACAAUUUAAAUCUAUUGCCUUAACAAGAACAAAAACAAUAAAUUUGAUCAAGCAAGAUAAUAAAAGAGUAAGGGAAGAGAAAUCAAACACGUGAUUUUUACGUGGUUCGGCUAACCAUGCCUCCGUCCACGCCUCCAAGCUCACCGAGCUUGAGGAUUCCACUAAGCAAGCCUCCAAGGUUUUAACUGCUCUUACAAUUGACUUCCAAGGUGUCAAUAAACCUUUACAAUAAGAUAUUAUUCUCAAUCUCUUAACCCAAGUGUAUCCCAAUACUUACAAUCUCUCAAUUUGAUUUUCAAGAAUAUUACAAAAUAAAUCUGUUAGCCUAAAGGGCUACACAUAUUGUAAUUUUGAUGAUAACAAACAUAUGUAUUAAGUGAUUUAAUAAAUAUUGUAUUUCACAUUUUCACUAGUUUUUGAAGGGUAAUAUUUAUGCAAGUGAAUCAAGUGAAAUCAAGCUCAAGACACUCAACGGACAACGGCGAAAUCAAGAAUAAAGUUUAGAGCUCAACGGAUAAAUUAGUGUGAUAAAUUCUUGUAAAGCCGGUAUGAUUAAAUUGAUGCAUGAUUUAGCAUUUGAGAAGCUCAAGAGAUUAAUUUAAUUAAUUACUUUUUAUAAACUAAAAGGUUUUAUUUUUAUAAGAUAAAGUACCUUGUGGUUUUGAGUAAUUUGGACUUAAAUACUAAGUUUUGAAAUCUUUGAUUUUAAUAAGUAUUAUUAUUAAAUUUCGGAGUUGGACGUUUUUACAAACAUUUGAAAUGUUUUGGGCCAUACUAUAAUUUAUGAAUAGUUUGGACUAAAGUGAAAGGUUUUGAGAACUUUGAUAAAUAUGGGUAUUAUGUUGAAAAUGACCUUUUUGCAAAAUAAUAAUAUAUUUGGGGUCAUGUCAUAAUUUCAGAAAGUUUUGAGUUGACAAUCAUUAUUAGGAAAUUCUGAAAUUGGACUUAUUUGUAAAGUUUUAUAAUGUUUUGGGCCAUAAAAUAAUUAUAAAAAGUUUUAGGCCAAAGUGUAAUUUUAGUGAACAGUGUUACUAUAACAAAAUUAAAAAAUAACAGUAAUAUCAAUGUUCAUGAGCGGCUCACCGCUUGGGCGCUGGAAUUUACCUAUAACGGCUAGUUUUCGGGCUUUAACUAUAAAAACUCAACUCCAACUUUAUUUUAAGAACUAAUACAAGGAAAAACAAGAUCAUAUAACAUAUAUUGAGCUUCCAUUUCGUAAAUCAUCAUUUGUUGAAUCAUCAUUGAGCUAUAAUUUUUUUAUCCACUCUUAAAGAGAGUUUCAUUGUUGUGAUUUUCAUUUCUCAUCAAAUUGUGAGUAUACAAGUGUGAGAAACACUUAGAGUGAAGAGAUUGUGGAUAUAAUCUCUUGUUGUAAAGGUCCAUUGACACCUUGGAAGUCAAUUGUAAACAUUUGAAGCCUUGGGAGGCUUGUAUAGUGAAAUCCUCAAGCCGGGUGAGCUUGGAGGCGUGGACGUAGGCGAGGAUAGCCGAACCACGUAAAAAUCCUUGUGUAUGUUUUCUCUUCCCUUACUCUUUUAAUAUUGUGCUUGAUUGAAUUUAUUGUUUUUGAUUUGAUUAAGGCAAUAGAUUAAAUUGUUGUGUGAAUUGUAUUGCAUAAUUUUAAAAUCUCAAUUCACCCCCCCUCUUAGGUUGCAUAACUUGCAUUUCAAAAUCUCUCUCACACAAUGUGUUUGAUUAAAAAUGAAAAUCUAAAGUAUGAGUAAAUGAGAUUAAUACAAGAAUUUAAAGCUCAAUGAAAGUUGUAUGCUCAAUAAUUUGCUCAAAGAUAAUUGUUGGAAUCGUUGUUGCUUGAAUUUGAUUAAGCUUAUUUAUAGUUGGAGCUAAAAUAUAGACGUUGUUGACUUUCUGCUCAAUGUCGGAUCGCCGUUAACUAGAUGUCGGAUCGUCGUUUUGACUUUAUGCAAGUUACCGUUGGACAAAAUUUCAAAUUGUCGGAUCGUUGUUUUUAAGAUGUCGGAUCGCCGUUGGUGUCCAGAGGCUAAUCUUCAAUUCUAUUCGAUGUCGGCUAGCCGUUAUCAAGAUGUCGGUUAGCCGUUUGCUACAGUGAACUGUGUUUGUAAAAUUAUAAUUUGGCCCCAAAACUUUAUAAAAUUAUACUAUGGCCUAAAAUUUUAUCAAACUUGUCAAAUAAGUCAAUUUCUAGAAUUUUAAGCAAUAUUUACUAAUUUCAAAGAUCUCAACACUUUUUCAAUUCAUUAACAUGAAAACAACUAAUAUCAUAAAAUCACUUUUCAUUGAAUAUAAAACCUUUAUAAUUUGAAAAUAUAUAAAAAAUAAUUUGAGCUUUUAAAACAAUCAUAAUCAAGUUUGUUAUCAUCAAAAUCAAUACUAAAGAAAUAUUUAUGUUAACAAUAACCACUAUACUUUUGCACAUGUGGGCGAGGUCCUCGGGCUAACCACCGUAAUGUAUCUGAUACAUUUUCAUUAUCGUCCAUCAUAUUGGAGACCUAACAUGUUAUAAUAAACGUUAUGAGUUUAAUAAAUGAAUAAUUUGACGAAAAAAAUUCUGAUAAGUGCAAGGAUUAGCCAAAAUAUAGACCUUUUGUGAUAACCAAUCCGUAAAAGAGCGAUUAUGUUGCUCUUUCAACCAUUUUUGGUCUUUUGUUUUGCGCAGAAACUGACCUUGUAAGUGCUCCAUAUGGUCACUAAGAAGAAGUAAAACAAUGAAAUUUUGGAGCUAAAAACAAAUGAAUGUCCAGUAAAAUCAUGAAUUUUAGUUACAAAUACCUAAUGAAGGGCUUAACUGAAUUAGUAUUUUGCAACACGUACAAAUAAGCUUGAGAUAACAACUUAUAUUCAACAAGAGUAGAUUUCCCACCACCUAUAGGCAUUUGAAUUAAUGAGUUUUUCAUGUGCCCAAGUGGAUUCCCAAUGGUUUGCAUGUUGGAUAAGUACUCAACACAAAAUUCAAGAACUUCUUCUGCAAUAUAACAUUCUGUAAUACACCUUUCAGGUUGAUAACGGUUACAAACAUAUCUGUUGAGUGUUUUUAUGUUCCUUUUGAAUGGAUACAUCCAUCUUAGAUAAAUAGGACCACAAAGUCUGACCUCAUGGACAAGAUGGACAGUUAAGUGAACCAUUAUGUCAAAAAAAGAAGGUGAAAAGCAUUUUUCCAACAAACAUAAUGUCGCCACUAUGUCUUUUUUCAUUUCAUCCAGUUCACUAACAUCAAUCACCGUAGCGCAUAUGGAAUUAAAGAAAAAAUAGAAUCUAAUGAUUGCAACACGUACAUGGUCAGGUAAUAUUGUCCAAAAUGCAACAACAAGAAAAUGUUGCAUAAGCACAUGACAAUUAUAUGAUUUGAGACCCUACAACUUGCAUUCCUUUAAAGAUAACGGAUUUUUCAUAUUAGAAGAAUAGCCAUCAAGAACCUUAAUGCUUCUCAAACAUUCACAAAACAUUUUCUUCUCCUCUCUAGUUAAGGUAUAAGAAGCUGGAGGAAGCUUAAUAUGGUUCUUGUUUGAGAAAUCAGGUGCCAAUUUAUCUCUAAUUUUCAUUAGUCCAAGAUCCAUUCUUGAUUUAAGGCCAUCUUUUGUUUUUCCCGGAAUAUUCAACGAUGUGCCGUAGAUGCUUUCACAGAUAUUUUUUUCAAUAUGCAUAACAUCUAAUUGAUGUCGAACAAGCAAGUAUAUCUAAUACUAAAUCAAUAUUGACUUCUUCUUCCAACAGUUGCUCGUAUUACUAUCAUCAACACUUUUCCGCUUCUUGCUUGUACCUUUUCCCCAUUUGUUAUUGAUACAUUUAACUUGUUCCCCUACAUCAUGGCCUGUCAAUAGUUUAGGUGGGUCUCGUUCUUCCACCUCAUUGUUGAAGGCCUUUUUUUGAAAUCGAAAUUCAUGGUUCUUAAGAAGAAAACGCUUAUGGCCCACAUAAGCAUUUUUCUUACUAUGUGACAAUCUGCAGGGAGUUAUGUCUUCCCCACAAGUUGGAAAAGUAUAAUACCUUUUUGUCAUACACCCAGACAAAUUUUCAUAAGCUGGAAAGUCAUUGAUCGUCCAUAGUAAGAUAGCUCGCAAGUUGAAGAAUUCUUUUCUAUAGGCAUCAUAUGCCUCAACACCAAUAGCCCAUAAAGACUGUAAUUCCUCAAUUAAUGGUGCUAGAAACAUAUCAAUGUCAUUCCCUGGUUGUUGUAGUCCGAAAAGCAAUAAUGACAACAUCAUGAAUUUCCUUUUCAUAUACAACCACGGAGGAAGAUUAUAAGUUAUAAGGACAACUGGCCAGUAAUUGUAUGUACUGCUUAGGGAGCUAUGUAGAUAAAUUCGGUCAACAAAAAGGGCAAGAUGGAGAUUUCUAGAUUCAGAUGCAAAGGAAGGCCAUUUAUCAUCCACUAACUUCCAAGCUGGUGAGUCAGCUGGAUGACGAAGCUUGCCAUCAACUUCUCUUCAUUUGCAUGCCAAGUUAAGUCAUUGGCAGUUUGUGGUGAUUGGAAAAGUCGCUUAAAUCUAGGGAUGAGUGGGAAAUACCAUAAAACUUUUGUGGGAACCCCUUUCCUAUAUUUUUCCUUAAAACCAUCUUUUUUCUGCCACCAUAAAACUCUACAAGAAGGACAUUAAAAAAGGUUCUCGUAUUCAUUUAUAUACAGUACGCAAUCAUUUGGGCAAGCAUAUAUUUUUUUCAUACUGCAAGAUCAAGGCAGACAUAAUUUUUUUUGCCUCAUAUGUACACCUAGGCAAUGUAUUGUCCGCUGGUAUCGGACCAACCAUAUUUUCCCUUCAAGUUGCAUAGCUUAACUAAUGCACCUAACCUAGUAUAUUUUUGCGAACUCGGGUACAAAAAUUUCUCGGCAUCUUCUAAUAAGGAUUUAAAGGCCUUAGGAUCAUCAUCAAAAUGCUUGUAAGAAUCAUUAAUCAUGUUUACAGCCUCACCUUGAUUAAGGUACAUGUUUUGUGGGUCAACUUGAUCACUUAUAUCAAUUUUUGUCAUGUUGGGUUUGGUUUCCCCAUGCCAAGUCCAAAUAGUAUAACUCUCAUCAAAACCCUUAAAAAAUAAAUGGUCUCUAAUUGUCCUAGAAGGAUAGAAUGUUAGGUUUUUAUAUUUGAUGCAAGGACACCUUAUAAAAUCACUAUUAUCAGAAUUUUCAAUUGCAAAAUCCAUGAACAUAUCCACACUAACAAUAUAUUCUGCAAACAAUCUAUGACAUGUUAUCCAAGACUUUUCCAUUUUAUAAACCAAAAACAUCUCCUGAUACAAAAGUAAAAAUGUAAUAAAAUAUUAGAAAAAAACAAAAUGACAUAAUACAUGCAAAAUCUUAUCCUUUUUCAAAGUUCCAGGACAAAUACUAUAAAAGCAGCAGCCAAUAAUUUAUGAAUAACUUGAAUUAAAAUGAAGAAAACGCCUAUCAACACCCAUUAUUAUCAUAGAAUAAAAUGUCAGUACAAAAUUUUUAUUUAUAUCAGUAUAACAGAAUCAAAUAUGCUACUGAUCAUGUUAUGUAUUUAAUUACAUAUGAUCAAUAUUUAAUUUUGGCUACUGAUCAUGUAUAUAUUUAAUUGCAUAUGAUCAAAUUUAAUAUUUUAAUAGAAAAGCAAAAACAAAAUAGACUUUAAUUUCAUUAGUUUAAUGAAAUAGGCAGUGUUAUGCAAGGGAAAUGGAAUAAAAAAUAGACAUAUAGUACUCCAGUAACCAAAAAGUAGUAUUAUAUAUUUCCAGAAAAGCAGUCAUAUAUCUAUUUACCUGCUUGAUUAUCCAAUUUAAAUGCCUUUCUUUAGCCGAGUAUUUUACAGCCACUUGUCUCUAACCUGAAGAAUAUAUAAACCGAAAGAAGUUAAACAUUAAUGCUUUUUGCUCAACUCAAUAGUGAUUAUUUUUCUUUUUUAACUUUACAAUACAAAAAUCGAAAACACACAAGUAUCAAACAAUUUAGGGGACCCAUGUGUGUCAAAAAUGCAGCACAUAACGGCCCUCAUUGUACCUUUGACUAUUUGAGAAAACAACCAGGACCACAAACAAAAUAAGCAAACAAAGUCCACAAACUGUAGGAAAAAAAAUAUUUGCUCGGGGACCACAAACAAAACUAUUGUAAUAAACAAUGUAUACCAACCGAUUGUUUUCUUUAUGACACCAUCAAAUUACACAAAAGGACAACAUUGUUUAAACCUUUAUGAAGCCUAAUGCACAUAAAGACAAUCCGAAGCUUUACACACAAUCCAUGCAAAAUUAGAAUCACAUGCAAUUCAGGGCUUAAUGCACAAUCCAUGCGGAGUCAAUAUAAUAUUCAUAAUGAUUACAAAUGGUCUUUACAGAGUAAAAAACAAGUAAACAACAAUUAAAUUAAUGACUUAAAUCAUCCCAAUUAGACACGCAAAUUAGAAAUAAUUAGAAUCACAACCACAAUUUCACAUGCAACACUUAAAAUCAUUUAAAUUUGAAAUGCAAGAACUUGAAUGCACUUGCAUUACAUCAUAACACCAAAAUGAACAAGCUAUCUUCAAAGCUCAAAGAAAUUUAGAUAUUAAUCAACCACAACAACCAUAACCAUAAUUAUUACAUAAUUGCACCAAUUUCUUUAAGACCAAAGAAAUAUAGACAGUACUACCCAUAGAGUCAAAGGAUGCAAUCCUCAAGGUAUUUUAAUUUCACUCAUGCAGCAACAGAAACCAAAAGCUUCUUCUAUGAUAAUAGUGGCCUCAACCUUGUGGCCACAUCUUUAACUGUAACAAGUACAUAAGAAGUAUUAAAACCUAAAAAAUUUAAAUAAAAAAAUUAAAAAUAGAUAAAGAACCAGGACCACUCCCAAACAUUAAGAAUAAUUAUUUAGGGAACCACUAGAUCUAUAUAUAUUUUCACGGCUAAAAUUUAAUUAGGUUUCGUUAGAAUAACACCACAUCUAAAAACCAUCACAUGAAUUACCACUUAAAAUCGGCCAGGGACAUAACAUUGCAAAUUAAAAAAUUGAGUGAGGCUUUUGAUGCACUUACUUUUUCUCCUUCUUUUCUUUCUUUUCUUUCUUUUCUUUCUUCUCUAAUAACAAUUGGUGUUUUGAAUAAGGGGAUGUUGGGUGACGGCUAGUGAGUGUCAGUGCAAAUGGCUUGGCAGUUGGAGAGAUUUGGUAAAUUCGUAAUGGGUGCUUGGUGGUUGUUAUGUGCUUUGUUCAAUUGAUUUUCUCUAGUUGGGUGAUUAGGUUUUUAUCAAUUGAGUGAAAAAUAGGGCGUAGUAGCGCGAUGAUUCUUCUGCGCUUGAGAGGGUGGAGAGCGAAAAAGAAAAGGGGCUGCAAUCGUUGCACACUUAGCAAAUUUUGCUAAGUGUUGAAACAAUAUUUCCAAAGCAAAACGAUGGCGUUUUGCUUUUAUUUUUAGUUUAAAUCAUUCAAUUAAAAACGCUUUCACUCGUUCCAAAGCCAAGCAAAAUGAUGACGUUUUGUUUUUUUUUUUAAUUUAAAUAAUACAAUUACAAAGGGCAUUCACUUGUUUCAACACUUAGCAAAAUUAGCAAAUUUUGCUAAGUGUUGGAACGUUCUUUCCAAAGCAAACAAUUGUGCUUUUUUUUUCAAUUACUUAACAAUGGAAACCUUGUAAAUAAAUUAAGUUAUACAUUAAUAAAAUAUUUUAAAAUAAUUAACAAUGAAAAAUUUGUAAUAUUUAAAAAUUUAAAAAUAAACAAAUUAUAUGUUGAAAAUAAAUAUUUUUUAAAUAAUCCACUACAGUCCAUCACAAGUUUUGUCAUGUAAGUAAAACAAUUUAAACGCCAUGCGAUUUUGAAUUUUUAAAAAUUUAAAUUAAUCAACCAUGACAUUUAUCCAUCAUCAGUUUACCUCUAUUGUCUAUCAAUCACGAAUGCGUCAUGAAGGCAUGAUAUAUUCUAUGUAUCACGAAAAUGUCAUAACUUCAUGAUACAAUCGUGACAUAUCCGUAUCUAUCAUAAAAAAUCUAUCAUAGAUCAGCGCUUUUUUAGUAGUGCAUUUAGCUAAUGAUGAAUAAGUUUUUAGUAGUGCACUUCAAAAAGGAUUAGAGUGUAUUCAGUCCUUAGUAAUUGAAUUUUCAUUUUUCCUCAAUCCUCUCCAUGCAAUCCAUACACAGGCAACUUCAGUGUAAUUAGAAGAUCGAAAUGAACUAGUAGAAUAUUUAAGAAAGAGAAUUCUUAAACAAGUCCUACAGGGUUCAGUUAGAAUAAACUAUAACUAUGGUUCUACGUAAACAUCAGAGGAUUAUAAGAUAAAAUUGUAUGCAAGUCACUGUAGAGUAUCUUGAGAGAAGGUUUUAGCCAUGCUUGCAGACAUCGAAUAAUAAUGGUAGAAAACAUUUUAAGGCCAAAUGAACAUGCAUAAAAAAUGGUAAUAAAUGCAAGGUAGGCUUACGAACAUGUCUAGAAUCAUCCGGUGCAAUGCUUUCAACCAACUUUUGAUACAACCUUCCAAAUUAAGUUGGACCAACCUGAAUGUUUACAAGAAGGGUAGCCCAUUGAUGAGUCCAAUUACGAGCAGCCCAAGAAGUAAACAAUGUCACAUGUUGAGGAGGAAGCAGCUUGUAAUGAACCACGGAAAGGCACACGAUUGAGAAGGCCCCCUGGCUGGUUUAGAGACUAUGUCGUGUUGUGGAAUUGAUUUAUUGUUACUCCAAUUAUUUAGAGCUCUAUAUUUGCUACUUCAUUUUUGCUGUUAUAUUUUCUAUUACAAGUCGUUUGCUGAGCUGUAUUGAAACUUCUAUAGACAGAGCAGUAUAUGUAGAGCGUAACCAAUUUUGUAAGGAUAUCUUAAAUGAAUUGUUUCUUAUCUUUCUCGAGUCUUCUUCUAUUCUCAACUUCUCUUUUCAAUCUUGCUCUUUCUCUUCAAUUUUUUUUUUUGGAGCCAGCACUCGCUCGAAGACUGUAAACUUAACCGAUGCAUCCUUUGGUUGCAGAGAGGUGUAUCAACUUUGGUCCGGAUGAAAGAAACUCACAUCCUAGAAGACUGUAAGCAACAAUUCCAAUGCCAAGUUCCCUGAGCAGAGCAACCACCAAAAUUGCGUUAGCAUGCAAAUGUUAAAUCAUCUACUCAGUUUCUUUUCCUUUCAACUAGGUCAAAAUAAUUCAUUUGGUCCAAAUAAUGCCUUACCUGCAAGUAGGAACAAUCUCUUCCUUCACAUCUCGCGACCGCAAGGACCAUUCCAAGCGCACAACUGUUAUUGGAUGGAUGGUGUGAGCCCGUCUAAUUGUUGAAGCAAAAGCCUCCGAUAGAUCUAUAUGCUUUAUUUUACCCUCUUCAACUAGUCUCUUGAGUUCCCCAAUCUUACAAAAACAACACAAGUAAAAGAAUUAGUACAUGAUAACAGAAACCUCACCCACCAAAGUGACCCAUGCCUAUAUUUUUAAAUAUUUUGUGUUUCAUAUUCAUUGGCAGCCGAGUUACCUAGAGGCUAACAGACUAAUAUAGUUUAACAUGCAUGACUGAGAGAAAUAUAAAUUAAAAGUGACAAACCGUGACUUCUAUGGGAACUUUAGUGUCAAUGCGAUGUUGGUCAUAAAGAUCAAUACAGUCAACAUCCAGACGCUUCAAGCUGGCCUCACAUGCAGCUCUCAAAUAAGCAUGAUCCCCACAAUAUGAGUACUUGCCAUCCUCAUAUCUGAUACCAAAUUUAGUAGUCAAUUCAACUCUUCAUCUGUACCCUUCUUUCAAAGCCUAAUCCCAAAACCAAAUUAAUCAAAGCUAAUAUAUUAUUAUUUGACAAUUCCAAACAUGCCCUUUUGAAAUUAAAGGAAGGAAUAGAAGCUAAAUUACAUUACCUUGCCCAGAAGGAUUUCAUUUGUGUGAGGUCCGUAAACAUCGGAAGUGUCAAGUACAUUGAUGCCACUGUCAAUGGCAUGGUUGGUCAAGGCUAUCAUACCAGAUUCGGGCUUCGAGGGCCCGUAGAAGGCGGACAUGCCCAUACAUCCUAAGCCUUGUGCUGAAACUUCUAGACCUUGUGAAAGAAAUUCAUAAAUGAGUCAAUAGGCCUUACCUUUUCGAAUUAUGUAGCGAAAUAAACAAGUGUUGUAUCACGUCACCGGUCGAAAAGAAAUCAAGAACGAAAAUCUUCCUCAAAUCACAGUGUAUUUGCCUUUUCCGGAUUGUUCAGUGAUCUUGUUUUUAAUCCUUUUGUCGUUCAACCACACACACACACACUGCUGGUUUUUCUUUUUCAAAAUGAAUUGUUAACUUGCUUUCUUUUCCAGCAGCGUUUUUUUUUUAUAUAUACAACGGUUGGGAGCGGUUGGGAAGUUGAUUUGUGUUCAACUUCCCUCUCCCAAACGUUCAUGGUAACCAACAACCAUGUGCGGGUCGGGUCCCGUCCAACAUCUCCCACUCGCACAUGAUGGGACGACAUCGAAACAGCAGAGCAGUGAAUAAAGAAACAAUGAACAACCACAUAUCUCCAAUCAUACAGGCAAAUAUACCGUGUGACCAUGAACAUAUCCAAAAACCCAUUCGGGGAGCCAAAGACAUAUCUCAAUUGCUAACCCAGGCAAGAGAUGUCUCAAUUGCAAUCAUAUGCAAGAGAACUUAACAUAUGUUCAUUGUAUCCCAGAUUUAAUUUACUUUAACACUCAAGCAUACUAAAUCCUCUCAGUAUGCCAGAAUUGCACAAUCUCUUUAUGUAUUCACAAUUGUAAUAUCACAAAGAUAUUAAACAAUUGGUCGACCAGUGAAUUACAUAAAAGAAAAAAUUAAAUAUUCCCAUCACACUUAUGUCUAUCAAUCCAGAAUAGUUGCUUUUUUAGUCAUGUUUCAUAGACCGAAUCAUGUCAAGGUCGUAGAUAACAUGCUAAAGUAGCAGACACCAAUCUGAAAUCUCAGAAACAUAGUUGAUAGUUACAGGGAUACCACAAUUGACUUAUAAAAAGUCAUAUGGAACUUACACAAUGAGGAGGAAGGGAGAUUCUCUCAUUUUCCAUUUUUUGGUCACCAAGCACGCGUGGUAUGAUACACGUGUUACAGUGAAUCUUCCAUUGCAGGGCAUAUGUCUCAUUAAUCUAAUUCACUAUACAGAUCUUAGUCCAGUCGCUCUUCUACAGCGCCUGACCUGAGUUCUUAAAGUGAACGCUUUCGUUUAGCGUCAAAAUAAGAUCUCACAUCUGGCUUUAAUCAGGUCUCUAUGAUGGUGGGUACAUCAUAGUCGGUCAACGAGAAAAUAUCGUAUACGACCUCAUGUUGACUCCAAUCAAGGCGACAAAAUUUGUAGAAUAUUUCUUUAUUCUUUGGCUCUUAGACAAAGCACAUUGUCUCAUUUUUCUACUUGUCUCAUCUCAGCUUGCUCCCAGAGCAACUGAGGUGACCGCUCGUGUAAGAAAGCCGGUCAUUGACUUGAUGACAUACUCUCAUAUGUGUGUAAUUAUGUCUUUCUCAAACUAAUUUGAAAUAAGAGAACUUAAAACAUCAAUGCAUUUCAAAAUAAUUCAUGUAAUAAAAAUGUUUAGUAAAUAAAAUAUCUUUACAAUGAAAUAUUACAAUCUACGUAGCCCCAACGAUCUAGCAUGAGAGGUGAAUACAUCUCUCGUUACAGCUUUUGUAAGUGGAUCAGUUAUCAUGCUAUGCGUAGAUAUGUAUUGUAUGGCUACUUCAUUCUUUGCCAAAAUGUCUCUUAUAAAAUUGUAUUUAGUCUCAAUGUGUUUCGACUUGCUGUGGUAUUUGGUGUCUUUAGAGAAUAAUAUAGCAGCCUGACUGUCACAAUAGACAGUUACUAAACUAGUAGCGCUAAUAUUAAUCUGUAAGUCCUCCACAAAUCUCUUAAGCCACACAGCUUCUUGCACUGCCGCAGAACAUGCAAUAUAUUCAGCUUCCAUCGUUGAUAAAGUUGUGCAUGUUUGUUUCUUGCUACUCCAUGUAAUUGCUCCUCUGUUUAGCAAGAAUGCAUAUCCUGAGGUCGAUUUGCGCUCAUCCAGAUCGCUACCCCAGUCGGCAUUCGAAUAUCCAACAAUUCACAAACCACCUCCUUGAUAGCAUAAAGAAUAAUCUGUAGUGCCUUUGAGAUAUGCCAAAAUCCUUUUGAUCGCACUACAAUGCUUCUGUCCAGAAUUCGACUGGUAUCUACUCACCAGUCCUACAUCAUAACUGAUAUUCGGCCUUGUACACAUCAUGGCAUACAUGAGACUUCCAAUGGCAUUUUCAUAAGGAAUUCUAGCCAUUCUUUCCUUUUCUUGAGGAGUCUUGGGACACAUAUCGAGACUAAGAGAUUGUCCUUUAGCUAUUGGGGUGUCCAUUGGCUUACAAUCAACCAUAUUGAAUCUUUCAAGGAUCUUCUUAAUGUAAGGUUCUUGUGAUAGUGCCAGAAGUUUCCUUGAACGAUCCCUAAAAAUUUUGACUCCCAAGAUAUAAGUUGCUUCACCCAUAUCUUUCAUGUCAAAAUUUGAGUAUAGCCAAUCUUUAACAGUUUUGACAAACUCUAGACUGUUCGCAGCUAACAGUCUAUCGUCCACAUAGAAAGACAAUAUCGCAAAAUCGUCUUUAGACCUUUUAACGUACACACAAUGGUCUUCCUCAAUCAUCCUAAAGCCAUAAGAAAUUACGGCUUGAUGAAAUUUUAGGUUCCAUUGUCUAGAGGAUUGUUUAAGGCCAUAAAUAGACCUUUUUAGCUUGCAUACUUUGCGCUCUUGGCCUUUAAUAACAAAACCUUGUGGUUGUGCCAUAUAAAUUUCUUCCUCUAGUUCUCCAUUGAGAAAUGUAGUUUUUACAUCCAUUUAAUGUAACUCAAGGUCUAGAUGUGCAAUGAUAGCCAAGAUUAAUCGUAUAGAAGCAAACCUUACUAUAGGAGAAAAAGUCUCUUCAUAGUCUACACCCUCAUGUUGGGUAUAACCUUUAGCGACUAAUCUUACUUUAUAUCUCUCAAUUGUCCCAUCCACCUUACGUUUUAUCCGGAGAACCCAUUUGUUUCCGAUAGCUUUACGGUUAGGCGGAAGAUCAACCAAGUCCCAGACCUGAUUGACUUUCAUAGACUUCAUCUCUUCCUCCAUUGCUUUCAUCCAUAAAUCCUUAGUAGACGAUGUGAGAGCCUCGUUAUAAGUAUUUGGCUCAUCACCAUCGUGUGAAGCAAUCAUAAAAGCUUAUCCCUCAAUCUCAAAGCGACGACGAGGAAUUAGCCUACGAUUACUCUUUCGAGUUGAUUCCCCAGCUGGAAUCGAAGUGUCUGAUAUUUUACUCCCACUCAGAGUGGCAAUCCCUAAAGGAUCCGUACUAACACCAACACUAUCGUUAGAAAUGAUAAUCUCAUUUGGAUCUUCUAAUUCAUAUAAUUAAAAAUCCUUAUCAACUUCUCCAAUGCUGGGAAAUUCAUUUUCUAGAAAAUUGGCAUCUCGUGAUUCUAGUUCAGACACAGUUCCACCUGCUUGUUCACCAAUGAACACAUAUCCUUUAGAGUGUUCUGAGUUUCUUAUAAAGAUACACUUUUUACCCCUAGCUCCUAAUUUUCCAAACUUAUGAGUAGAGUUAUGAAUAUAAGCUGCAGACCCCCAUGGCCGCAGAUGAGAUAGGUCAGGUUUUCUACCCGUCCAUAACUCAUAUGGGGUGGAACUGACUGAUUUUGAAGGAACUCGGUUAAUACAUAGGUAGCAGUUAACAAAGCAUCUCCCCAAUAGGAUAUUGGAAGAUUUGCUUGCGCCAUCAUUGACCUAACCAUUUCCAAUAAAGUUAUAUUCAUUCUUUUCGCUACACCAUUUUGUUGCAGAGUUUCAGGAAUAGUCAGUUGUCUCUUUAUCCCUUUCUCAUUACAGAGUUCCUUGAACUGUUCCGAAAGGUAUUCACGUCCUCAGUCAGUUCUUAGAGCUUUAACAUUGUUGUCUAGUUGAUUCUCUUUCAUGUUCAAAUAUAAUCUAAAGCAAUCCAAUACUUCUGAUUUAUGAGAAAUCAAGUAGACGUGACCGAAACGUGAAUAAUCAUCAAUGAAUGUAAUAAAAUAUGAGGCUCCAUGUUUAGCCUUUACAUUCAUUGGACCACAAAUGUCAAAGUGGAUUAAUUGCAAUGGUUUUUUGGCUCUAAUUCCUUUGCUAAAUGGUUUUCUAGUUGUUUUCCCAGCUAGACAAUUUUCACAUAUGGGCAAUUCAAUCUUGGUGAGUGGGCCCAACAUGCCCUUUCUCGCAAGUCUAUACAUUCUUUCUUGCCCUAUAUGACCUAGUCUAGCAUGCCAAGUGAUGGCAUCUAUUUCAUUAUUACUAGAAAAAGUAACAUAAGAAAAAUAACUAUUAUCAUAACUUGAACCAUCAAGUAUUGUAUCUAAUACAAUAAAACCAUUAAUUAAAUGCUCAGUUCCAAUAAGGACUGAAUUUAAAAAGAUCUCUAAACAAACACCAUGAAAAGUUAAGUAAUAUCCUAAUUCAAGAAGAACAUGGACAAAUAUCAAGUUUCGUCGAAUCUCUGGUGCAUACAGGACAUCGUAUAACAAAAGAAUAUGUCCACCACACAAAGUCAAUUUGCAUGUGCUUAUUCCUUUUGCCUCAACCCUAGAGUUGUUACCCACGUAUAUCCAUCUACUCCCUUGACUAAUUCGACGAUACUCCACAUAUGCAUCUCGAUCACGAGCUAUAUGGUAUGUUGCUCCUGAGUUUACAAUCCACACAGGACGAGAUUCGGUUAGGAGUACAUAACUCGUUACUAAAGCAUAAUUUAACAAAGUGUAGUUGGGUCUUACCUUUUUCGACUCAGUGCACUCAUGAGCAAAGUGACCCAGCUUGCUACAGUUGUAGCAUCUCACCUUGGAUUUGUCCUUUUUCUUGCCAGCACGUUUACCCCUUGGGCACUUUUUAACAUUUGGCUUCUUCUUAUCAGGAUCAGAUCCCUUACCCUUCUGGUUAUUUUUAUGGUCCCUUUUUGCAUUUGAAGCCCGAAGCUUUGCGCGAGCUUGACUCGGCCAUAAAAACUCAAUCAGAACGCUUAGCUCCCUCAAGGCGCUCUACUUUUAACUCUAGGUGAUGCUCAAUAUCUUUAAAAGUUUUGAUAUUUUCAUUAUGAGUCAUAUUCACCUUCAUAUGUUCCCAGGUAUUGGGUAGAGAUCUUAUCACUGCCUGGACUUGUUGUUCAGUAGUCAGAACAUGUCCAGCAGACUUAAGCUCACGAACCAUGUUCGACAUCUCCCUCAGAUGUUGCCUCAUUGUGCAGUUCGAGUGCUUCUGAUAAGAGUCAAAUUUGAUCGUAAGCCUCCUGAGUUUAGUGGUCGAGGUACCACCAAACUUGUCUUGCAGAGCGAGCCACAUCUCUUGAGCUGUCUCAUACUUCUCAUACUCACACAUGAGAUCAUCUUGCAUGCUGCUCAAUAACGUUAUGCGAGCAUUGCUAUUCUUCUUUUUCCAGGCCUGAUAUGCCUCAAAAUCCCUCCUGUGUUGAGCAGUAUUCCCUUGCUCAGGCUCAGCUAGGGUGUUGUUAAGAGUUUGUAGAGUCUCUUGCUCUUCAAGGAUGUACUGAAUCUUACGGUGCCAAAUAUCGUAAUUGUCACCAUUCAGUUUCUCACCCUUGUUCAACUCAGCCACAAUGUUUUUAGAUGCAGAGGCCAUCUCAACUAUAAUUCAACACAUAGACAAUUCAAAAUACAAUCACUAAAGGCAUAAUUAAUAAUUACACACAAACAAUUAAUUUUGCCGCAAACAUAAACCAAAAGACAUGACGAACUAAUAUCAUGAAUGAAAUCAAAAGGUCGUCGAGGCUUCCAAUCAUCAUCCAAUUCCCUUUAUUAUAUUCAUCAUUAAUUCGAUUUUAAUGCAAAAAAUUAUCAGUUCUAAUUAUGAAUUUAUUAAAUUCAAUUUAAUUAGAACUCCCACUCAACGGAACAAUUCAUGAGAUAUGAUAAAAGAGUAUGUAAAGUCGAGCAAGAAUUAAUGUAGAAUAUCAUUAAUGAAAUCAUAGCAACAUAUAGUUCAACCAACAAAAUAAAACCAAUUCAAAAAAUAUAUAAUCAACAAACAAAUGAAAUAACCUAACAUAGUCAAACUAAUACAUAGAAUCUUCUACAUGUUCUUAAAAUAUUCUUUGUUGCUCGUGACUCUUUCAUCUAACUUAUACUUAAGUCUAUCUCUAAAUAAAAAUAAUUGUUCCCUCUUGAUGAUUGUGUUUAUGGUUUUAUCAUACCAUAACUUCUGCCCUCUACCAAGGCGACUAGCUUGUCUCCCACUUCGAAGGUUCAUGUGAAUGCUAACCACUGAGGUUCGCCUCAUCUUUGAAACAAGACGGCGCUCCUCCAUCAACUCAAUUUCACACCUCAACAUAUAAUAUCUGUGUGAGGGUUCCUUAAUCUGAUUUAACAUGCGAACCUUAAAGACAAGCGUAUUGUCAUCAUCAGGUAAUGAUUGAAUGAGGAGUCAUUCAUAAUAACCCCAGUUUGUAUACACAGUAGGUAUAUUUGCGGACAUUAAGCGGUUAAAAACCCCAUAUAUAUCUUCUAUGUUAAUGCAUAUAGGACGAUCAGGGUCCAUAUGAUAAUUCUCCAUUUCUCCAUAAGUUCUUCAUAAGAUAGAUUAUUAUUAAUCUCAAUUAGAUCAUUAGGUGAAACCCAAGCUCUAAUUGUCAUUAAACCUUCUUCCUCAGUCCACAACUUACUAACGGGAGGCAUCUACGAGAAAAAUAAAAUAUAAAAAAUAAAAUUAGGGAUUGUUAACAAACGACUAAAUACGAGAUUAAAUUUUAGCCAAUUCCAUAAAAAAUAAAUAAAUAUUUCAAGCUCCCACUAAAGCGAAACAUUUAUUAACAUAUAAUGCUCAUCCGUGAGACUAUAUUAGUUCGAUCCAAAAUUUUAUUUCAAAAAAUAAGAAAUGAUUAAAAAUAAUUAUUUCAUAUAAAAAAAAGAAAAUUAAAUUUCGGAUCAAACGGCGCAAACGGCGCCCAAAUCGGAGUCCCGAAUAGCAAAAUAUGUAAAAAUUUACGAAUCCAGAUUUAUCCCCACGCGCACUACAAUGUGAUACAGUGUGCUACAGUACUCUACAGUAUCCCUACAGUAUCGCUACACUUGCUACAGUACACUACAGUGCCGAUACAGUAUGCUACAGUGUGCUACAGAAAUGCUACAAUCACGUUCAAACACACACAAACCCGCGCGUGGAAUCCACGCGCAGCCUUGCGCCACUCAAGUGGCGUUGGGUGCGACACUAUCCGACUCCAUUUUUCAUUAUGAACACAAUGGUACAUUCGGAGUUUCAAAUGGAAGUCGGAAUAGGCCGGAAUCGUCAAAAAACUAACUCCGGCACUAUUCAUCAUCUUCUCCAAAUUAGGGUUUUUAACCCUUUCCAAACCAUAAUCUAACCAGAAACGUAUUUUGGCUAUAACUUUCGCGUCGUAAGUCCGUUUUUAACAAAUAAUAUAUCCUUGGAAAGCUCUCGAAAAGAUAUUUCCAAAGAUAUAUCACACAUACUGUCAGGUAUCCUAGAUCAAAAAAUAUGAUCCAUUGAAGUUUCGGGUUUCAUAAAAUAUUUAGGGUUCAUGCAAUCUAAACCCUAGGCCGGUUUUAAUAACUUCAAUUCCAGAAUUUAUGCAUUCAUAUUAAACAUUCGAGAACACUUAAAACAACAGCCAUCACAAAAAUUAAUAAAAUAAAAAAUCAUGCUUUUCAUGAAUCAAAUCCAACCAAUGCACGAAUCCAACACAUUCAGGCUCUGAUACCAAUGAAAGAAAUUCAUAAAUGAGUCAAUAGGCCUUACCUUUUCGAAGUAUGCAGCGGAAUAAACAAGUGUUGUAUCACAUCACCGGUCGGAAAGAAAUCACGAACAAAAAUCUUCCUCAAAUCACAGUGUAUUUGCCUUUUCCGAAUUGUUCAAUGAUCUUGUUUUUAAUCCUUUUUUCGUUCACCCACACACACACUCUGCUGGUUUUUCUUUUUCGAAAUGAAUCGUUAACUUGCUUUCUUUUCCAGCAGCGUUUUUUUUUUAUAUAUACAACGGUUGGGAGCGGUUGGGAAGUUGAUUUGUGUUCAACUUCCCUCUCCCAAACGUGCAUGGUGUUGAGUAUUAGAAAAUGCAUAUUUAUAAAGGAGAAAACCAUCAUUUUACAUUUCAAGUCUUACUAACAAGUUUUACUAACACCUUUACUUUUAUGAAUUUAACCUUCUUUUGAUUUAAUUCCGUGUGUUUUAUUUUAAUUAAGUAUUUUAUGUAUUUUAGGGGCAUUAUAGUCAUUUCACAAUAAAUGAGAGAUCAGACGGCAAAACGGACAUCACUUUUGAACUCAGGACGGUCGAAAACCUUAGGAGAAGCAUAAAAGGAAAAAUGGCACUAUUCACAUGUACGGUACUAUUCACGUGUAUGGUAAUGUCUACGUUACUGUUCACGACACUGUUCACAUAGACGGAUCGAUGACGUGGCAUUGACCGAUGAUGUGGCAUUGACUGAUGAGGUGUCACGAUCCUGUUGGACUAAAAUUCUUAUGUACUGUUGAUGGUGACGUGGCAGCAUAUCAGUGGACGAAAAAUCUCGCGUACGGUGCAUGCAUCACACAGGAUUAUUUUCAACCAAACCGUGUUACUGUUCAUCCGGGUCAAACCAUGUUACUGUUCAUCCGCGUGGUCAAACCGUGGACUGUUGACUGAUGACGUGGCGCAAUCCUGAGCGUCCAAACUGUUUUUAAUCCGAUGGCCAUGAUUUACUCCAUGUAUCUAUAAAAAGGGGGCCUCCCCCCCUAAUUUGAUAUCUCUGAAUCCAUUUUUGGGAUCCAUUUUCUAUAAUUCCUUCUCCAUCUUGUAUUUUCUUUGUAUUUUAAUAAAUUCCCUUUUUGCCCCUUGUUCAAUUAUGAGUAGCUAAUUUCUUUUCAAGCUUGGGUUGAAGGUGAAGUCUCAACAUGUGUCAUGGGCUUUAUUUGGUAAAUUUAUUUUCUUUUCCCCUCUAGUUUUUGUGGAUGAUUUGACUUAUCGUCGACAAAUAAUACUGAUCUUGUCUAGAUACCGCCUUGGUUACACCGGCUCUCUAGUAUAAGGUUAUUAUUAUUUGGCACGAUAAGCCCUUAGCACCAUAUUGAUUAGAGCGUGGUUCAUGAGGUGUGGAUUCCCCCCUCAUGAUUUAAUUGGCAUUAAUAUGGAUUAUUUAGCCCAUGAUGCAUGUUGAUACGGAUCCAGAUACCCAAGUACGUCAUUUCAAUAGAUUUCGCUUCAACUUAUUCUCGCCAUUGCAAUUCCAAUUUUAGAAUUUAUUAUCGCAAUUUCAAUUCCAAUUUUAGGAUAAUUUAAAUCACUUCCACCACAAUUCCAACCACCCAUUUUGCAAAAUUAAUUCUAUACACAAUUAAAAUCCACCUCCUCGUGGGAUCGACACUCGUCACCAUUGAUCUAUACUACAAUAGAUUCGUGCGCUUGCGAGUUCAUUAAAAUUUACACAACACAUGGUAACCAACAAGUGGUUACCAUGUGCGGGUCGGGUCGGGUCGGGUCGGGUCGGGUCGGCCCAUCUUGGGCGCCCACCCGUCCAACACCUUGUGAACCCAACUUGAUUCUCUUCACUAUCCCCGCCAUUUCUUGUCUACUCUCGUUUUCUAUUGAAUGGUUUAGUUGCUUUUCAAGCCAAUAAUUUAUAUUUAUAGUUUUUUUGGGGGAAAAAACUGUAACCGGUAAUGGCUGGGCAAUUAAGUGCUCUCCAUGGGCCUCACAAAACACGUGAUGCUAACGUAAUGGGAUAUGUCAGCAGUUACCACCGUAACUCUAAAAAAUCACACACUAGAGUAGUUAAAUAAAUAGUUAGAGGACGAUGGGUGAGAUUUAAAAAGAAAAAAAUUUAUAAUACAUUAAAAAAAAAAGGCUGCUACUAGCCUACUGCAAUGCCGUAAGUUUAAAACAAAUCGUUGGAUUCAACUAAAAUGAAUCCAACGGAUGAGAUUUAAUAUUAAAUAAAAAUAGAAAAAGGGCAAAUUGAAAUGUCGGUUGCUUAGUAAUUUUAUCUCCCUCAAAUCUUUAAGUGCUCGUUUGGUAUUGUUUUUUAAUUAAUAUUUUUUGAAAACAUAAAAUAAAAAUAAAAAUUAUGUUUUGCAGUUAUUCUAUUUUGAAUUUAAGCAUGCGUAUGAUAUUAUUUUUUGUAUCAUGUAUUUUAAAACUAAAAACACUAAUAUUAUUUUUUUUUAAUUAAAAACCACCAAGAGGUGGGGGAUUAGGCGGGCUCCUACCUAUAAUAUAAAUCAGUAGUGGAACAAAUACGUAAGGAGCUAGACAUAAACCAAAAUUUUCUAAAGUAAAUGAAAAUAUAUAAGAAUGUACAAAAAUAAAAAGAGAAGAAUGAAAUAAUAAGGAAAGCCAUCAAUGCUAGCAUUUGACAUGGGAACAGUCUGCGCAUCCAAAUGUAGAAUACUAGAUAAGCCUACAGGAAUAUCUUGAGAACACAAGAAAUGCCUACUAACCCCAUGAGUGCAAGCCCAAUUGGGCAGAAAAUCAACAGCAGAAGUAGCCUCCUGAAGCACAUGCCGAACCAAAAUAGGAUGGGAAGAUGUCAAAGCUCACACCCAACGCAACGAAUAAGCACAAUCCCAACGAACAGUACCCCCGGAAUGAAUCCAAGAAACGACCAUGGCUGAAUUUGACUCCACCUCAAGUAUAGAGUAACCAAGCUGGGUAGCAAAAUCAACCCUUCACAAACAACCAUAGCCUCAGCAUAAAAAAUUGGCUGACAACCUAGAAAAGAUCUAAAAGCAGCCAAAGUUGUACCUCGAUAAUCUCAGAUAAUGCCACCCGGAGCAGCCAUCCCAGGAUUGCCCUUAGAGCAACUAUCCACAAUCAUCUUUACAACCCUAAGAGGCGCCUUAUUUAAGAAACUAAUCAAAUUAGCCUUUUAGUGCAGCUAUAACUCGCAAACCCUCCGUAAUCCCAGAACCCAAAAAUCCCUUCAGCUAGGAAAGCUUAAAGCCAAAAGUGGAACUAGCAAGCCUGAGAUCCGUUAUCACCUGACAGAUAACCGCAUCAACAUGAAAAGAUUGCGAAUCAAACAUGAAAGCAUUAAGGCCCUUCCAAACUUACAACAAAAUAAAGCAAGGUAGGAGGAGCUGAAGGUGAUUCCGAGAAGGGACACACCACUACCAAUGAAGAAGUAAAGCAUCGGGGGGAGGGGGUCAAAAAAGCAACAUCUGUUAUACCUCAAAUCUGUUGAAAAUGAACUUAAACAUGGGUAACCCGCGGGCAAUCAAUAAAUAAGUGUCGAGAAGUCUUUACAGCCCGAAAAACACACCAAGAGGCCAUGUAAAAACCCACUCAUGCGCAAUGCAUUAUCAAUAGCCAAAAAACCAUGCAAUAGCCAGAGAAAAAAAAGAAAUCUGAGAUAGGAUAUAUCGCUAUCAGUUAACCGAAACAACCUUAUCCCUCAGCCUAAAACAACGGACAAACUCCCAAACUAUCUGUAAAUGAAAAGGCCAUCAGAGGGAAGAUCCCAUCGAAUCAAAUCUGACUCCCUAUUAGAAAUAGUAACCAAUAAAAUCUGCUCAACAAUAGAAGAGGGCAACACAUUCAGGAGCUCACCCUUAUCCCAAACUAUACCCCACCAAUAAAAGGAAAUUGACAUAAUAGAAGCCAUUGUAGGAUUAUAAAUGACCAAAAAACAAAAGGCCAGCUAACAAUCAUAUCAAAAAUUGCACUCCCCGUGACAAAUCAACCAAUGCACAUGAGGCCCAGCAACACACCAAACGGAAAAAAAAAGGCAUCUCCAGAGAGGAGAAACAAGAUAACUAAUCUGAAGCAAACUUAAAUGUGUAGCUUUGCUAUACUUAGACUUCAUAUAAAAAGGCCAUAAUGAACUCUGCUCUUGAAAAUGCCACCAAAGCUUGAGCAUAAAAGCCUCAGGCAUAUCAUUAAAAGACUGGAUACUGAGGCCACCCUUCUCAACCGGAUGACACACCGCUGGCUAUCUACACCUCGUUCUCAGAAUCAUCUCAUAAGAACCGAGUAAAUAUUAUCUUUAAGCACUGAACCACAGCCAUAAGAGGGAUAAGAACAUGAAACAAAUGAAGUGACAUAGAAGACAAUACAUGUCAAGUGAACAUCAGCUUCCCACUGAAAGAUAGCAACUGAUUGGUCCAACUCGAGAUCCAAUUCCUUGACCUUCCAAACUAUAUCAUCAAAAUGAGAAAUCUUGAGAUGCCCCAUAAAAACCGAGCACCUAAGAUAAAUGAAUAGAAGCUAAUGCCGUUAGAAACUAGUGAUAGAAUGGAUAAUAGUUGGCCUGAGGCAGAAGCUGAGUCCUCAAUGUAGAAAUUGCUCUUGGCUUGACUAAUCAAUUGUCCCAAAAGUACCUCAUAAUGAUAUGAAAAAUUUAUAACCCGCUAAAGGCUCAACCAACUCCUAUUUGUAAAAAUAACAAUAUCAUCCACAAAGCUCAAAUAAGAGAUAGUGAUACAUGCAGCCAAACAAUACUACACAGAGGGAUAUUGAGAGUACAAAUGGUCUAAGCCCUGAGACAAAAACUCAGCAGCAAUGAUAAACAAAUGCGGGGAAAGAGGAUCGCCCUGCCUAAUACCACUCUGAGACUGGAAAACACCAUGACUAACCCCAUUCACCAUAACGAGAACCAAGGGCCAAAGAUAGCUCACCGAAUCAAAGAGACCCACUACUUUGAAAACCCAAAACACUGCAACAUCUUAGCAAUAAAAGACCAAGACAUCUAGUCAUAAGCUUUGGCCAUAUCAAGCUUUAGCACUACAUUAUUCCUCUGAGUACGGCGGUUGAGAUCAUGAGCCAGCUCUUAAAUCGAAAGCACAUUAUCAUAAAUCACAUUGCCAAAGACAAAACCAUUCUGAAAAUGAGCGAUAAGACGAGGCAACAAAAUCUCAACAUAAGUAACUUGGUCAAAUCCUUAUUGUUCACAUUGCAUAGACUUGGGAAGGGCUUCUUACGAAGACGAACUAGCAACGUACUCUGAAAACCCCUAGGCAUAGCCGAAACUCUAAACUAAUCAAGGACAACCUCCAAUAAAUCACUGCAAAUAAUGUCCCAACACGACGGGUAAAAUCUACUGCAUAACCCAUUCAGACUUAGGACACUAUUAAUCAUCCAUAUCUGGCUCCUUAUAUAAAUCCACAUGAUCCUCGACAAUUACCAAAGACAGAAUAAAAUCAAAGCCAGAUUAGUGAAACUGACUAGCACCGCUCGCCAACAACUGCGGAAAAAAAUCAAUUAUAGAGGCAGCCACAGCAGAUGGCUCAUAAUUCCACUCAGAAGAGGCAUCCUGAAUCUGAUGGACAUGAAAAAGUCGGCACUUCUUCUGAAUCAUUGCAUGGAAAAAGCAGGUGUUAGCAUUCCCCUACCGGACCCAAUGAACAAUGGCCUACUGACGUAAAAAACCUCUUCACAAGGUAAAGUGCGGCUCAAGCCUCUGAAAAAAUAGCUUUAUCCUCACCAGAACUAGACAUGUCACGUUGUCUCUCCUUUUGAGCAACAUCCUCCUCCACCUCCUUAACCCGGUGAAAGACAUUGCCAAUUACAUCCUUAUUCCAAUUGGAUGCUAUUACCUUGAUUAUAAAAUAUUUUGACAUUUAAUGUAGUUGUGCCUGAGCAAAACAUUUACAUACACUUGAGUUAAAGAGACAGUAAAAUAAUGUAUGUAAUUAUACAAAUUAGAGUGAACUAGUUUUUUUUUCUUUACAUUAGAUUUGAAAUUCUUGAUACAUAUUCUUUUAGAGAUUCUGGAAAAAGUCAAUUAAGUUUGAGCUAAAUUGUAUUCAGUAUUUGGAGCUAUCCACUUUGAGGUUAUGAUAUAUCAUGCAUCUUCAUAAAUCUUCAUGUAAAAUUAUUUUUUUUCUUCAUAACGCAAAUAUAGAUCCUUUUAUAUUAUUCUUUGAAGCAUCAUUCCAUACGUUUUCUAUAUAUAUAUAUAUAUAUAUAUGUGUGUGUGUGUAUAUAGAUUUUCGAGACUUGUGUUUUGCUAAAUAAUUGAAAUGUUGGAUUUUAAGAUAAGAAUGUAUCAAUUUACCAUAAAAAUGCCCCCAAAUGUGCCAUCUAUUUGUUACAAUUUAUUAAAAAGUGUAGAUUAUGUUCUUGUUUGACCAUGUUUAUCCCUGUAUUUGCUUUAUAUCUAUAGGGCAUUACUAAAGAAAAAUAUUUAAAAUUUGUCAGAAAUUACAUCCAAAUAGAUGAACUAAUUGAUCUUUUUUUUUUUAGUUGCUUGAGAAAAUAUCCAGAUGAUAUGCUGGAUAUUUUUGUGAUCAUGGACUCUUUUUCAUGGAGAUCGAAUUAAAUAUACUUGUACCAUCUAAUGCCAAUGUUUUUAAAUUCUUCAAGUUUUGUAAUUAUUAUAUAGCUUAAAUUAUAUUUACUUUUUUCCCAUAACAAAAUUCAAUUGUUCUUAUAUAUUUACCAAGUGUCACAUUAUUCUUCCUUUUUGGAUUUUGGCUGCGUGGAAGCCAUGGGUUGAUGGAUGAAUGACCCAUGUUCUAGGUAGAUAUAAAAAAUACUUUAAUACAUAUAAAAAUAGUGCAAUACUGAUCUUUAACCUUCAAUUGUACCUAUUGGAUACAUUUUUCAGGUAGUGAAUGAAAUAAAUCUAAGCUAACUUUAUUUGUACUUAUUGAAUAUAUUGUGGGCAGUGAACAAAAAAUAUAUAAGUUGACUCUAGAUCAUGUAGAUUUGAUGGGUGAGCAUGUGGCACAGGAGUUUGGUAUCGUUUUAUUAUUAUGGAUUGACCUAGAUUAAUGGAUUCACAUAGCAUUUAGAAUUCUAAAAAGUCUAUUUUCCUUUUAUGUAAGAGCAUCUAUUUUCACGUGCUAUUUCACUAUUGACAGAACGCUUGAGUUCUGGGGAAAAUUCCUUUUUUGCGCAUUCUGUUGGAGGUUAAGUUGCAAAAUAAGCAAUUAGAAGACUAUAUAGACUGUUAUGAUAGAGAAUAAAACUUCAUCACUGUUGCUACACCUCAUCUCUGUUCAAUGGGCAAUAACCAGGUACCUAUUUAAUAUAUUCAUGAUAUUUUGUUUCUUAAUUGUUCCCAAAACUCAUAAAUUGUCUACUAAGAAAAUGGAUGCUUGGAAUUGAUCUAGAUAAAGAAAAUGAUAUUUAAAUUUAAUGGGAUAAUCUCGUGUUCAAGUUUAUUUAGUAUCUCCUUUUUUUUGUUGUAAAAUGCGCAUUUGACAUGACGAACUGAGCCAUUAAAAUUGAUACUUAGAUAACAUAAUUUCUUGGGGAAAUUUUGGCCAGGAAAUAUAUUUUUUUAGAGCACUGUAAAGAAAUGUGAGAGAAGGUAUUGAACCUCAAGUCAAAUUAUCAAGAUAAAUUUAGGUUAAUGUGUUUUCCUAGCUAACUCAUUAAAUCAGUGGAAAACAAGUUAUCUUGUUUUAGUUCACGAUGUGCUCAAUUGAGUUUUUACUUUAGUUUUGUUGAGGUAAGAAAUUAUCUGACCAGUUUCUUUGCAUGUGAGAGAAAAAAUUAAAGUAUGUUAUAUGGAUGUUUUAGGGGGCAUGCAUUAUUAUCGCACCUAAAAUAGGAAAGAUUUAUUUUGAAUGUAUAAAGUACGUUAUAUGAAUGUUUCAAUCAUCAAGAUUUAUUUUGAGUUUUUAUUUUUUUAUUUCUCUUACCUAACAACUAUUGAUUCAGUGCUCAGCAAAAACUUAGAUUAGCAAUGAAUCCUUAUCUCGAGCACCAAUGACUUCUCGACGGGCAACAACAGAUUUUUUAAUCUCUCGGCAUUCCUCUGUUGGGGAAAAAUCAGGUUUUUAAAUUUUUAUAAAACCUUUUUAAAAUCGCUCUCAUAUAAUAUAUAAGAAUUUGUAAUCUAAAAAUCGUAUAUGGAAAAUCCGAUUUGGUUUUUUCCGCUGGAGUGAUUUAGGCUCCUAGAUCACGAUCCAUCAUCACCACUCCUGUUAGAUCACGAUCCGUCACCACCACGCUUGUUAGAUCACGAACUGUCACCAAUGAUCUUCUAGGUUAUGACUCAGGUUCGAUCUGCACUUGACGUGUGGGCGCCUUUAUCACUACCAAAGCAACUAGCACGAGAAAAUUUUUCUCUCAACAAUAAAGAGAAAAAUCUUUUUCUCUGAUUUGUAUAAAGUGGCUUCUCUGUUUUUCUUUUGAGAAAAUAAGCCUUUUAUAUCUCCCUUUAGUGAAAACCCUAGGCUCCAAAUAAUCAAAAAACAAAACUUACGUUACUUGCUUUUUCUAUAGGGGACCCACCUUGUAAAAUAACAUAAGGCCCUUACACACAAGCUAAUUAAAUGGAGCCUCCCACUAAAAGAUAUAUUUAGGCUUUUGACCCAAAUAGCUAGUUAUCUUACUUAUUAGUCCAGUAGUGGUGCAGUCAAUUAAAUGAGCUAACCCGGGGAUCAUUUGGGAACAUACAAUAGUGGCUAUAACAAUUAGGCCUGUAAUUAAACUAGCCUAAUUAUUUAAUUCCAAAUCUACUCCACUAAAAGAUUGGAAUUGGCCUCCAUAAUUGUAUGCUCGAAUAAUAAUUCGUCCCAAGCCACAUUGAUUUCUUUACUGUACAAUUAUUUGUACCACAUCGUUAAUUAAAUUGAUAUCUCAACUGUCCAAUCAAUUUAAUAACAUAUUGUUCCUUGAUACUUACUGGUUUUCUCUAAUGAUCAUUUUCAACAUACUAAAUAUGUUGACACACUCUGGCCAGAGAAUUCUAUGAUCAAAUGCCGAAAACUCAUCAAGAGAUGUGUUGUACAAAUUCUAUAUUGUUAAUCCAUAACUUCAAUAUUCAUAAUUGCUCCCACCAAGAUACCGGGUAAUCUUGACCACAAGAAUGUGUCGUGCCCAUUGGUAACUCAAAUGGAAUAACAAUUACAAUCAUGAAAUCAUAAUUAACUCAAGAUUAAGAUUACAGUAAAAUCAAUGCCUAUGAGAUUUAAUAAAUCUGACAGUCAUUUCAAUGUUAAUUAAAUCUCAUAUGUGAUCAUGUUCAAUGUAGUCGUACUACAUUAAUAAAUUCAUACAUGAUUAAGACAAAUCAUUCAAUGAAUUCAUUACAGUCUAUACCUAAAUAAAGUGCCCAACUUUAUUUAUCAACUACGAACUAAAUUUAUUUAAUCAUAAGAUAACUUAUAUUUAUGUCUUCUGUGAAUCCACAUAGUGAUCACAUAAAUACAUAUAAUAUGAUUAAAUGGACUUUGAUCAAAAUAUUAAUGCAAUUAAGAUAUUUGAAUAAAAUACCUCAUUAAUUUUAUUAAUCAGAAAAAAAUGUUUAUUACAUUUAAAUAAACACAUAUGCUUUUAAAGAGCAUAUUUUCCCAACAUCCUCCUCCACCACUACCACCAUAGCCACCAUUCUAGAUCCUUUCUUGUUUCCUUAUUUGUUUUUCCGCACCAACAUUUUCUCUUGCAUUCUCUGCAUAUGCUAUUCAUCUUUGUUUAUGAAUUAAUGUCUUACCUACGUUUUUUACUAUUUACGAAUAUAUUGAUGUUCAAUUUUAUACUCUUAUGAUUUUUUGCAUGCACUUGCUUGGAAUAUUAUAUGUUUUCCUGGUUAUUGAUAGAGGGAGAUGCCAUUGCAACUCCGCUUUGUUAUUGUUUUCAUUUUGAGUAAUAAGCAUCUUAAACAUUUUUGCUGUUAAAACGGGAAGCCAAAAUACUAAACCUUUUUAUGAUGAAGGGCGAGAAGUAACAUGUUUUUGUGGAGCAUUACUUGAUCACUAUAUUUAAUUGAUUGUUUGGGUUUGAAAUUGAUGGGAUGUAUACAUUGCAAUUGAUAUUUUAUGAAUUUGAAAUUGGAAGAAAAAAAGGAUCAAGAAAUAACAUGAAGAAGAAAAAGUGUUAUAGUAAGAUAAAGAAAGAGAAAGAUUAUGUACUGGGUAAAAUCUAACUGGUUACAUAAUUAUUUAUAAACUUCUUAUUCUAAUGAGAGUAGGGUUCUAAAUCAAGAGAAUUAAGAGUCCCUUAACACAAGAUUUUUUCCUAAAUCAACUAGAAACAAACAAAGACUUAAUAAUUCUCCUAAGAGUUUAGCCAAUUAAGCUACCAAGCACAAAUCACCAAAAGCACAGCUCCACUUUACAAUUAAUUGGAAAUAUCUAUGAAAUUGUUUCCUCAUGGUGGCAUCUUUCUCUUCAGUCUUUAAGUAUUUUUGCUGUAAGGCAACAAUUAAAUUUUAAGUUGUGAUGUUUGGUAAUUGGAAUUGGACGAAUAGAUAUAAGUUGUGCAUAAGCCUUUAUUAUAUUAGUUCAUUUUCAAGAAUUUUGUUGUCAAAUUUUUAUAGUUUCUAUGUUUUGUAUUUUUCAACUAAAAUAGCCAUCGGUUUAAGGGCGGGGGGAUGAUUUGCUGGGUUUUUAAAUUAAAAUGUGAAGAAAAUAUAAUGUAGGAUGAUUUGUUUUAGGCAACAUAAAAUUUGUAGCACAUGACGUAAAAAAGUAACAUGAAAUAUGCAAAUAGUAGUUAAAUAUGUAAUAUUAGACAUUAAACACAAGUACGAUAUAACAUGAAAUAUGGUAGUUGAUACAUGUGACGGACGAUGUUGUACAUGAAAUAUGAACGUCAAAUAUGAAACAAACAGGAUUAUAAAACUAUUUGGCUUUGUUUAUGACAUGGAAUAUUAAACUUAUAUAACAUGUGGUGUAAACAUAAAGCAUGAAAUUUACAUGUGAAAAAAUAACAAAAAAAUACAAAAACAAAAGUUAAGGAUGCAACAUUAGACAUUAAAAUGGGUACAAUGUAAACAUGUAAUAUGAUAGUUUAUACAUAUGAUGAACGAUGUUGUACAUGAAACAUGAACGUCAACUAUGAAAUGAAUAGGAAUACAAAAUUUUUUGCCUUUUUUUAUGACAUCAAACACUAAACUUAUGCAACAUAUAAUGUAAAAAUGAAAUUUACAUGUAAAAAAACAAUAAUAAUAAAAUGAUAUAUGCAAAAAUGAAAGUUAAGUAUGCAACAUUAGACAUUAAACAUGGGUAUAAUAUAAACAUGCAACAUGAUACUUGUUACAUGUGACAGAUGAUGUCGUAUAUCAAACAUGAAAUGAGUGGAAAAAUAAAAAAAUUUGGAAUCAUUUCUAACAUGAAACACCAAAUUUUAAAGAUGCAACAUCUGAUGAAAGCAUGAAACAUGAAAUUUAUACAUGAAAUGAUAAUCUAGGAUAUGAAAUAUUGAAAGUUAAAUAUGCAACUUUAGACAUUAAACAUGAGUAUAAAGAAAACAUAUAACAUGGUGCUUGACACAUGUGACAAAAAAUGUUAUGCAUAAAACAUGGACGUCAAAUAUGAAACGGGGAGGAAAAUAAAUUUUUUUUGUGCCAUUUCUAACAUCAAACACCAAAUUUCAAAAAUGCAACAUGUGAUGUAAACAUAAAACAUAAAACAUAGAAUUUAUACAUAAAAUAAUAACAUGUAAUAUGAAACAGUACAAGUUAAAUAUGCAAUGUUAAACAUUAAAUAUGAGUACUAUUACAUAUAAAACAUUUAAUGAUAAACAAGUAAUUGUUAAUGUUAUAUAUGAAAUAUGAAUAUCAAACAUCAAAUGGAGAAGAAAAGAAAAUUUUAAGCGUAUUUAGAAUAAUAAAGUUGAGAAAAAUAACAAUACACAUGAAAAUUUUAAUGUCAAAUAUGAGAUGACACAUAUAAAAUAAGAAACAUAUUAUUGUCUUUUAUUAUAUAAAUUUUUUUAUUUUUUUCUCUUGGUUUUGAUAAGAUAUUAUUUUUCUUUCAUUUUUUGUUUAUUUAUCUUUUUUUUCCUUUCGAUUAAUAUUAUCUUUUCAAAAAAAAAAUUAGUUAAUAUAUUAUCCUAUUUCAAUUUUUAAAAUUUAAAUAAUUAGUUAAAUAUAGUAAUCAGUUAAAGAAUUUAGUUGUUCUAGGUCUUUGGCUAUAAUUUGGCAACCAAAGAAUGUUGGGCUCUCUUUCCGAGAAGCCGGAUUUGCCUCUGGCAUUGUAGCCACUAGCGAUGGCAAUGGUCCAAGAUGGUCCAGGAUUUGACAAUCCCGGUCCCGUCCUGAAUAGUAAAACGGAAUUUUAAUGCGGACCAAAUCCUAUCCCGAAUAGUUAAAUAGGAGAAAAAAUUGGACCAAUACCAGACUGCUCAAAAUCUCGUCCCGGACCAAAUAGCCCGAAUAUCCCAAAUGUCUCAUUUAAUAAAUACUAUAAAUUUCAUUAAAAUAUUAAAAAAAUAUUUAAUCCAAUGAUUCUAUAAAAUUGUUAACAUCGCAAUUUAGGUUUUCAGUUUAAUAUUUUUGUUUUAGAUUUAUUUAAUUAAACUAAAAAUAAUACAACAAAUAGGCUAGUGUUUGUUACUUGGGCCUAUAGUAUAUUGUUAUAAUGCUAUUUGAAUCACUAUUAAUUAACCAUUAGUUUAAUUUUACUUACUUUUGAUUUUAUUAAUAUAGUAUUUCUUCCAAAAAUUAAAUGGGACAAUCGGGACAAAUGGGAUCCCGCGGGAUCUUGACUUAGAUCUCAAUCCCAUCCCACAUAGUAAAUUGUGAUAUUUUUUCAAUCCCAACUCCCGUCCCUUUUUAAAAUUCGGUCCUAAAAUACGGACCAAUACCAUUUCAAAUAGUUCGGGAUCCCAAAUCCGAAAUAGGAUUUGAAAUUUUUUGCCAUCCCUAUUAGCCACACCUGAAAUAGAGUCUAAUCAGAUCAAGACCCAUGUACUAAUAAAAGAAGUAAAUAUAUAAAAUACGAAAACAAAAUCAUUUUGAUUUCAAUUAUUUUGACAACUAAUUGGCCAUCAGGCAAACUAAUACUAGGAAAGCUAAGCCUUGAAAAAAAUCUGAAAAAUGCAAUGCUGACCAACGGCUGGGAACUUUUUUUUUUUUUUUAACCUAAUCAACGUGGUAAUAAAAUAUUAUUGGUUGUAGGUUACUAGGUUCGAUAUCUUGAACUCAGCCUGGCCCAUGUGGCCCAUGUUAGUAUGGGCUAGUGUAAAAUUACAAUAAAACGUUCCCCAUCUGAUGAGUUGAUAACAAAAUUACAAAAACACAAAAACAUCCAAAAGAACGUUUGAAUUUUAUGGCCAAUUUGGUAAUGCCAAGCUUUUAAAUAAUUAGUAUUAAUUAUGAUGUAAAAAUAAUUAGUUACGAAAAAAAUCAAUUAAAUGUUUGGUAAAAUUUAUUUUAAAAAAUACUGUGAGUUUUAAAAAUAGUCGUAUGUAUUUGAUAAAAUUUUAUUUAUUAAACUAGUGUAACAAUACAAAUAACUGAAUUCUAUAUAAUUUUAAGUAAAAAUUUAUUUAGACAUCUAUAAAUAUGUUUAUAAAAAAAUUUCUUGUGCACAGAAAAUAAUUGACAAUUAAAAAAUUUAUUUUAUAUUAUUAAUUUUAUUUUUUUUAUCACAGUAUAAAUAGUAAUAAUAAUAUUAUCUUUAAGGUUAAUAAUUUUAUUUUUUAAUUAAUAAGAUUAAUUUUAUAUUUUUAUAAUAUAUGGAACUAUUAGAUUUAAAAUUAAUUCUCAAAUUAGAUUUUAAAAAAUUACUCAUUCCAUACUUCUAAAAAUCCACUAUAAAAUAAAGUGAUUUUUAAAAAAAAUUAAAAUAAUUUACCAAACAUCAGAAUUAAUUUUUAAUAUUUUAAAAUUAAUUUAUAACUCCAAAAAAUAAAUACUAAAAUUAACUUUUUUAACUUUUCAAAAUUAAACUCCAGACUCCUUAAAGCACUUUCCGCCAAUCGCCCGCAACUUCCUCUACUUGCUACAUGUUGAUGCGAGAUUCCGGUUCUCCUCGUUCCACGAUCAGGAUCCCUGCUCGAUCAACUUCACCACGACCAGGAGGUCUCCUCGUACCACUCCGACUACCCCAUUCACCCGGUACUUCAGAGCUAGAUAAUGGUUGGACAACACCGCUUUGCUCAUCCUUAAAAAUGGCCGACCUAGGAUCAUCUGGUAAGGGCCUUCCUCAUCCACUACGACGAAGUCCAGUAUCAUUGUUCUUUCUGUCGGGGGGCUCCCGAUUGUGAUAGGAAGUUCGACCACGCCCAGAGGGACCAGCUUCCCUCCUCCGAACCCCUUCAAGGAGGUGUUGGUGUGUUCCAACUUUCGGUCGGCUAUUCCCAUAUCUUCCAAAGUUGACUUAAAUAACACAUCAACUGAGCUCCCCGUAUCAACCAGUAUCCGGUCAAAUUUCUUGCUAGCGACCGUAGCCUUGAUGACUAAAGCAUCCUCGUGGGGGUAUAGAAUCCCUUCCUCAUCCUCAUCGGUCCACAUGAUUGGCACUUGCCUGACCCUUGCUCGUUUGGCUGCUGGGGUGUUGAAGAGUAUCUCUUUACUGGUCAUGGCGUAUCUGGCGUAAUUUUUUCUCGAUCUGUUCGAGUCUCCGGCCAACGUUGGGCCCCCCGCUAUCACCCUUACUGCGGGCUGCUCGCGUCUCAAGAUUCUAUCACUCUGCUCCCCUUCCUCUGUUGUGGCCACCAUCGGAAAAGUCCCAUCCAUAAACUCGUCCAGGUACCGAUUUCUCACCAAAUCUUCGACCUGGGUCUUGAGAUCUCUACACUCUGCCGUGGUAUGGCCAUGGGUGCCAUGGAAGUUACAAUAGCGUCCUCUAUCCCUCCUGUUGGGUAGCUUUGUUAUUGGUGCAGGGAGGUGCAGCAGCCCUCGAUCCUUUAUGGCCUCGUACACCUCAUCCAGGGGCAUCUUCAAGGGAGUGUACCGCCCAUAGUCCUGGUUCUGGUCGACCAGAUGCACUGCUCUUUCUCUGUUUGCCCCACUGUGAGUUGGGGGCGGCGGAAGUGCUUCUGGUCUGCUCGUCCUGCUACCGUGGGAAUGUUGAUGAAGACCACCGGAUGCCGAAUCGUGCCUUCUCCACGGCUCCCUAGCUGGGGAACGAGGAGGUGGCGCCCUGCUGCGCUCAUACUGUGGCGGCCUCUGAUGAGGCUGGUAAGCCAUUACCCUACCUCCUGCUCCACUACCGGAGACCUGGUGGUCCCUCCUCCUGAUCGGGCCAUUGCCUGGUAAUGCUUUCUUCUCUUUCCUCCCUAACCCUUCCAACUGGUCGGUCUUGAUCCGUGCAGCCUUCUCCUCCUCGAUCUCGAUGUCUCUUUUAGCCUGUUCGUAUGCGGCUGCAUACGUUUGAAUAGCGGGGCUUCUCAAAUUGUACCACAGCCUUCCUAUCUUCACCCCUUCUUUCAAUCCCCUUAACGCCUGAGGGUGGUUGAAGGCUCCCAAGUCGAGGACAGCCCGAUGAAACCUCUUGAUGAAUUCCCGGAGGGUUUCUUGCUCCCCUUGUUUCAUGCUCUUCAGCUCCAUCAUGUCAUCUUCCGGUGACAUUGCCCCACUAAACUGCUCUGCGAAUUCCUGGCACAUCUGCUCGAAGGUUUUAAUGCUGCCCCGAGGAAGUUUUCUGUACCAUUCUCGUGCACGUCCCUCAAGGGAUAGUGGGAACACCCUGCACCUCUGGGAUGGAGAUAAUCCCUGUACCCCCGUUAUGUCGUUGAAGCGCUCUAUGUGCAUCAGCGGAUCAGUUCUUCCCGAGUAUCUGAGGUCGGGGAGGCGGAAAUCUCUCGGAAUAACCGCCCUCAUGAUCUCUGCUGCGAGCGGUGAUUCUCCGUCCAGCAUUAUCCUCCAACCAGGGGCUCUGUUCCUCCCUUGCAUGUCGUCAAUUAUUUGCGCUAGCCUUCGCACUUCCUCCUCCAGCUGCCCUGCACGACCAGGGUCACGUGCUGCAGCUUGAUCCCGCUCUUGCUCUACAUCAUGCAAGUGUUGCCUCAGUUCUGUUUCCUCUGCAUUCACCACCCCGUCGCCCUCGUCACAAGUCUGUCUUGCCGGGGACUGCUCUCUUUCUCUACGAAAUUCUCCCCGCACAGGUACGUUACCUCUCUCACCACCAAAUCUCCCUGCGGUUUGACUUCUCUCCGCACUAUCGGUACCUGGUGCCGCUCCACCGCCUCUCACCCUUCCCUCUUGGGUUACCCUUCGCUCGUUCCGCAGCUCAUGCAGGAUGGUUGUCAAGGUUUCCAUCUGCUUUUCCAUUCGUUCCAUCCGGUCGAACAUGACUUUUUCCCGUGCUUCGCUGAUUACCUCCCUCAGCGUCACGGAAUCGUUAAGCCUCAUGUCACCCCCUUGUGCGCUACUUCCUCCUAUCUCCAUUGCUUUUCGCUUACCCCCCCCCCCCCUCUUCUUGCUAUCGACAGAAGCUUUUUGCUCUGUUCCCCACAGACGGCGCCAAAAUGUUGAUGCGAGAUUCCGGUUCUCCUCGUUCCACGACCAGGAUCCCUGCUCGAUCAACUUCACCACGACCAGGAGGUCUCCUAGUAAUGCUUCUUCUCCAGAUGUCCCUGCACAAACAGACAAGUCAGAGUACGCCGGUUGUUCCCCCGGCGCAAACCCUCCGACGCUCAAGUCAGAUAUGAAGGUUCAGGGAACGCUUGCCACAGGUCUUAUGGCUUUUUCGUGGUUUUUCCCUCUAUCUCAAAAAUGCCAACCCUUUUACCUUCGUUGGCUACCUUUUUAUAGGCUUCCUCUGAAUCUCAGUCUUCCGCUCUUUUUCCCACGGUAUGGGACUCCCCCUGCUGCGUUAUGGGCCAACGUGGGACCUAGCGUGUUACGCCACGGUUCAGGGGAAAGCGUGGCUGUCAUGGCUCUGUGAGACUUUGCGUGUUACGCCACGGUUCUGGGGAAAGCGUGGCUGUCAUGAUUCUGCGAGAUCUUGCGUGUUACGCCAAGGUUCUGGGGAAAGCGUGGCUGUCAUGCCUAGAUUCUCGUGCUGGAGAGCACGUCUUGUCAACUGUCGUCGACCGGGUCUCCUCGCCUCUUGACCUGUAGCCGGAAUGGCCUUUGGCCUUUUAUAGGAAAUUGGCCUCGCGAAUGACAACAUCGUGGACGAGUAGGAUUCUUCCGCGCACUAGGCUUUUACGGAACACACCGGUUCGCAGAACUCCGCCAUCAGAUAUCUGCUCGUCAUUCCUGGUCUCAUCAACGUGUUUAUCCCAAUCUGCUCGUCAUUCCUGGUCUCAUCGACGUGUUUAUCCCAAACAGUAUCUCUCCCAAACACUACAUUCUCGUGUUAUCCAUAGAAAAAGUAUGAUUAUUUCGCUGUCUCUUCAAUUUAUUCGCUUAUAUAAAGAUUAGAAAUCGAACAAAUUCUGCAACUUUCUAAAUAACACACAGCAAAAAAGAAAAAAAAGGUUGAGUCGUCAUCUUCUCAAUGGCGACGGCUGAGACACAAACGAUGGUGGUAGGGAUCGACGAUAGCGAGCACAGCACGUACGCGCUUCAAUGGACGCUCGAUCAUUUCUUUGCAAAUUCGACUGUAAAUCCUCCUUUCAAACUCGUCAUCGUUCACGCCAGACCUUCCCCUUCUGCUGUUAUUGGCCUCGCUGGACCUGGUAAAGUAAUUAUAAAUCUAACUAAUUAAUCCUUUGGUAUUUGUCCUUGCUUUGCAAGUUUUAAAAAUUAAGUAAUGGAUUUUGUUGUCCUUUGUUCGAUUUUAGUUUUCGAUUUUUGUUUGUUUGUUUUUUCUUUCUUUCUUGAUGACCAAGUAACUGGUUUUUAAUUUUAAUUUAUCGCAGGAGCUGUCGAGGUUUUGCCUCAUGUGGACUCAGAUUUGAAGAAGAUUGCUGCUAGGCUUGUGGAGGAGGCUAAAGAAUCUGUAGCAGUAAAUCGGUAAUGAUUAGUUUUUUAUUUCUUUUUAAUGAUAUUACUAUCUAUCUAUAUAUCUAUAUAUAUAUAUAAAGUUGGGACUAUAAGAGGUGAUGUGGCAUCACCAUUUCUCAUCAUUUCAUAUUUUCUAUUAUCUAAUAAAUUGGUUGAAAUUAAAAAAUAAUUACAUUAUAAAAUAUUAAAAUAGAAAAUAAUUAUUAGAUUAUAAAUGAUUACAUGUCUUUUUCUCUUUCUAUUUAAAUUCAACAAUAUGUAACCAUUAAUAAUAAUUAAUUAUAAGUCUUGAAACAUUCAUUUAUUUUAUUAUGCCAACAAUUAAAUUUUAGUGGCUUAAAAUACAUCAAUUAAUUAAUAUAGGAAGGAAGGUUCCUUCAUCUUCUCUCAACAAUACCAUUAGAGCCUAAUUUUAAUGUCAUAAUCUCAUAUUUAAUUAUUCAAUCUUUUGUUUAGUGGCUUUUGGCUUCUUCAAACUCCAUAAACAUUAAAUAUUUAAGAUUUGUGUCAUCAUUAUUUCUCAUCAUUUUUUAUUCUCUAUUAUCUAAUAUAUUGGUUGAGAUUAAAAAAUAAUUACAUUACAAAAUAUUAAAAAUAUAUAUCUAUCUAUCUAUAUCUAUAUAUAUAUAUAAAGUUGGGACUAGAGAAGGUGAUGUGGCAUCACUAUUUCUCAUCUUCUUGUAUUCUCUAUUAUCUAAUAAUUAAAUUAGUUGAUAUUAAAAAAAUAAUUACAUUACAAAAUAUUAAAAAUAAAAAAUUAUUAUUAGAUUACAAAAAAUUACAUGUCUCUUCCUCUUUCUAUUUAAAUUCAACAAUAUGUAACCAUUAAUAAUAAAUUAAUUAUAAGUUUUGAAACAUUCAUUUAUUUUAUUAAGCCAACAACUAAACUUUAGUGGUUUAAAAUACAUCAACUAAUUAAUAUAGGAAGGAAGGUUCAUUCAUCUUUCCUCACCAAUGCCACUAGGACCUAAUUUUAAUGUCAUAAUCUCAUAUUUAAUUAUGCAACCUUUUAUUUGGUGUCUUUUGGCUUCUUUAAACUCUAUAAAUAUUAAGCAUUUAAGAUUUGUUAUGUUUGAGUUUUUUUUAUUAUUUAACUAACAUCCUCCUUAGAAAUGUUUUUGUGUUUUUUAUUUUUUGACUUAUUUAAAUUUUUAGUAUUGUGUGCUUCAUGGAGUAUUCUUUUCUUCAUGAGUUAAACAGUGAUAAAGAUAGUUGGAUGAUAAGGGUUAGACUUUGUAAGAUGUGGGAGUCUGUUAAUACCAAGAAAAAUAGAGAGUUUUUAUUGAUGAAAAGGUUGUGUACACUUAACUAUACACAUUAAUAUAUAUUUUUAAUGUUAACAAAAAAAUAAUUAACUUUCAUAAAUAACAUUAGUUUUAUAAGGCUACGUCAUCUUUAAAAAAAAUCAUAUUUUUUAUCAGUUUCAUCAAGUGCAAAGUAAUAAAAAAGAUAAUACUAUUUUUUUUUUAAAGCCGCAUGAAGUGCGGUUCCAUUUCCUAGUCUAUAAAUAAAAUACAAUCUUGGGAUCGUCUAGGAUUCUAUAUACACAUACGCUUUUGUAGUACAGUUUAAAAAUCUUUAGAUUGCCCCACUCGUAAAAUGAUAAUUUUCAAAAUAUUCUUCUAAACAUCAACUUUCCCUCAUUUAUGUUAAGAAGACGAAAAAUUUUUCAUCAAUGCACCCCCAAUUUUUAUUUAUAUUUUGAACCCAAACAGAGGUAAGUUAAGGUUUAAAAUAGUUUAGAGGUACUUCGAGAACUGUCAUUUUGUGAUCGGUAAUCCAAAAUUAACCUUUCUAAAUUGGUGGAUCUAGGUUAUAAGAGCAUCUCCAAAAUGCUCUUUAGAUUUUACUCUUCAAAUUUCAAUUUGCUUACUGAUAUGGCAAAUAAGUGUAUAGAAAAAUACAAUCCCCUCCAAAAGACUCAUCAAAUAAGAAUAAGUUAAUAUUAUUUUAAUUAAAUCUUUCCCACUAUCAAAUUAAAUUGUUGUUAUGUUUUUGAAAGGAAACAUAAAUAAUAAUUAUUGCAGUCUUAUCUUUUCAAUAAAUAAUAAUAAAAUAUUAAUAGAAGAGGGAGAAACUCACUCGCCAAUAUUGAAGAGUGAGAAACAAAUCUUAUUUGAAGAAUCUAAAUUAACUUGUCUUUUGGAGUGUUUAAUAUUGAUAUGGCUCUUCUAGGGAUGGCAAUGGAUUGGAUCUGAUCCAAGAUCCACGUGAUCCAAAUCCAAUCGGAUCGAAUUUGGAUCGGUUUAAAAUGGAUUUGGAUCGGAUUUGGAUAUCGAUGUGCGGAUCUAAGAUGGAUCUGGAGCAGAUCUGGAUCUAUCUUAAUAUCUAAAUCCAUAUCCAUAUCCACUCAUCUUUUAAUUUUAUUUUAUUUUAAAAGUUUCUUAACAAUUGUGAAAUUAUAAUGAUAAUAAAUUUUAUUCAUAACAUAUUAGUAGUAUUUACCAUGCAUUUAAACUCUUAAAACUUAAAGGUUAGUUUUGUAAAUUUAAAGGUCAGCCAACCCCAAAGCAUGUACAUGCAAUAUUCAAAUUGCAAGCCAAAUAAUAUAACCUGGCAAUUUAUUUUAUUAUAUUGGCCAAAUAAUUUUUAAAGAAUAUAGUUAUUCAUAUAUUUAGUCAAAUAUGGUCAUAAUAAAAAUAAUAAAGGACUGAAUAUAAAUCAUAUUUAAUUUAUAUGUCAUUAUCUAAUGUUGUAGGAAUGAGGGUAGGUGUAUCGUAGAUAUUAGAAUGAUGAAGGAGACAAUAGAAUAUUAGAUUGAUCUUACUCCUGCAAUUACUUCGGAAUGAUAUUUUAUUAUCUUUCUUAUUUGUUGUUUUGGUGUAAAAGUAUAAGCUAUAAUAUUUAUUAUAAUUUUGAGAAAAAUUAUAUAAUUUAUUUGUUAUCAAUACAUUUUAGCCUUCAAUUUUCAAUCUAAAAAAUUAUUACUUUUUUAUUACUGAAUUUUAGAAUUCAUGACGGAUCUAGAGCAUAUUUGGAUUUUAAUUUUUUUUUUCGGAUUUGGAGCAGAUAUAGAUAUUUAUUUCUUUUUUGGAUCUGGAUAUGUAGCGAAAAAUAUGGAUUCAUGACGGAUCUGGAGCAGAUACAGAUCUUGAUUUUUAUUAUGGAUUUGGAUCUGGAGCAGAAUAGAUCCAACCCAUAUCUGCCCCAUUGCCAUCCCUAGGCUCUUCAAAUAAGAAGUAGAAUUUUAUUUGAAAAGUUUUUUUGGAGAUGCUUUAAGUAUUCACGCUUAUCCUUUUAUCUUUCCCCAGUUUGAAUAUACCAGAUUAUAAUAGGUAUACUUAACAAUUGUUUUCCUUCUGCUAUCAUUUCUGUAAAUUAGUAGUUCUGUUUUGUUUAGGUGCAUGAUGCUGUUGUUGAAGUGGUGGAAGGAGAUGCUCGAAAUAUCCUCUGUGAUGCUGUAGAGAAGCAUCAUGCCUCCAUAUUGGUUGUUGGUAGUCAUGGCUAUGGAGCGAUCAAAAGGUAUAAAUCCACUAUAAGUUGUUUCAUUUGGUAUCUCAUAUUUUCUCGAGUGGAACUUGGUAUGGUGAACUGUUUUGGUUAUUAUUCAUAUUUUUCAAUCAUAACGAGGACUCAAAUCUGUAUGUGUAAAUACACUAUAAAUAGAUUAAGUACUAUUGUAAAAGCUUAUAUGAAUCAAUUUUUUAUUCUUUAUUACGGAGUAGCUAUAACCAGUUGAAAAUUAAGUGGAAAAAAUGUCGUUGAGAUGUAGUAAAACGCUUUUCUCUGACUGGCCACCCAAAUGCAAAUUGAUGCUAAAAAUUUAAUUUGGGAUUUGCCUUCUCCUCUACCUUUGAAAAAAAAAAAAAAUUGAUCGGUUUCUAUUUCAGUAUUCUUUCGCUGGGAAUGUCAUACGUACUAUGGAUUUACAAAUUUUGUUGAAUAAGAGGGUUAGUAGGUUUCAUUUGUUUCCUGUUGGGGAUUCUGAUGACUUGUAACCGAGAUCGAUUCUUUUGCAGGGCGGUUUUGGGCAGUGUAAGUGAUUAUUGUGCUCAUCAUGCUCACUGCACGGUGAUGAUAGUGAAGAGGCCUAAAACCAAGCACUAAGCUGCAGUUCCUCUGCUUCAUGAUUAGUAAACACAUAAUAAGAUGGUAUGAAUCAGUUGGAUACUGUAUGAUAUCUAUUGUAUCUUGCAUUUUACAAUUGCGGUUGAAAAUGGGCUGUAAUCAAAUAUCAUAAUUUAACUUAUAUUUAUGUAAACAUCUAAACGUUUCAUCAAAGUUCAUAUGCUUCAAAUGUUUCAUAGUAAUGUUUUAUGUUCAUUAAUGUUCUCCUUGUUUCUUCGCUUGCUUGUUUCUUUACCCUCCCCUUUGUAGAAUUUCCUUGUUAAUCACAGUAUGAAUCAUAGCAUGAAAAUUAAAAGUUGAUUAGGACAAUAUUUUGAUUUUAAAUAUUUAAGGAUCCUUCUAAAUUACAUGUAAUGUAACUUACAACCACACACAUAAAUAAUAUGUGGUGUGGAGUUCACGCACUGGUUUAUAUGUGUGGUUGUAAGUUACAUUAUAUGAAACUUAGGGUUUGCCAAUAUUUGAAGUAACUUUUAAUUAAUCGAGACAGGUUCUGUAGGAAAGAUGUUAGCUUCAACCUUUUAUUCUUUAUCAUUUUUCAUGAUACUUUUAAAAUUUGAUAGACACAUAAAAUUCUGGUGUAAGAGGUGCUUAACACCCACUCUAUUAGGACAAUACAACUCAUUAAUUACUAUUUUCAGUUCACUGAAAAAAAAAAAAGAACUAUUAUGAACGCGAUCAUAUUUUUUAAAAUAAGAAACAUAUUCAUGAAUUAAUAAUUUAUUAAUUUAAUGAUAAAUAAUAAUUGUUAAAUUAAUAAACCUUUUAGGAUCCUUGCUAUUAAUUUAUCUGGUUGUAUUCUAAAUAGCUGCAUCACAAGUACGCAGAUCCACAAUUUCAACGCGUCUAGAAAUUUCAGAACAAUACAGCCAUCUUGUUUUAUUUAAUGUGUCUCGGGUAUUUUGACUACAUAGAAUCCAAGCCCUUAAAUCUAAUUAAACCUACUUACAAAAUACAUACAAGGAUUUAACCCCGAGCACAGCAUAGGAGCAAAUUAAUGUCAAAUAUGAGAUAACACAUAUAGAAUAAGAAACAAAUUAAUGUCUUUUAUUAUAUAAACUUUUUUUCUUGAUUUUGAUAAGAUAUUAUUUUUCUUUCAUUUUUUUAUUUUUUUAUCUUUUUUUCCCUUUCGAUUAAUAUUAUCUUUUCAAAAAAAUUUAGUUAGUAUAUUAUCCUAUUUCAAUUUUUAAAAUUUAAAUAAUUAGUUAAAUAUAGUAAUCAGUUAAAGAAAUUAGUUGUUCUAGGUCUUUGACUGUCAUUUGGCAUCCAAAGAAUGUUGGGCUCUCUCUCUCAGAACUCAGCAUCAUGUCUGGAGAUUGCCUCUUGGCUUUGUAGCCACACCCGAAAUGGAGCCUAAUUAAAUGAAGACACAUGUACUUAUAAAAGAAGUAAAUAUAUAAAAUACGAAAACAAAGUCGUUUUUAUUUCAAUUAUUUUGACACCUAAUUGGUGGCAGUAGAGGUGUUCAGAAUAUAAUUCGAUCCGCUUAAUCCAUCUAAUUCGUAAAAAUCCAAUUUGUGGAUUGGCGGAUUGGAUUGGAUUGAAAAUUUUGAAAAUCUACAGUCGGUUGAUUGAAUAUAGAUUUACUUUUAUAAAUCCGUAAAAAUCCGUGAUUCUGCAAAAAUAAAAAAUAUUUUACUUAAUUAAAAAAUAAAACUUGCAAAUGUAGCAUUGGUACUUACGAAUAAAUGAUAAGUUAAAAUAUAAUUAAAUUAACACCAUGUUAUAUAUAAAUUAAAAAAUAAUUAAAUAUUUGAAUAAUUAAAUAAGCAAAUAUAACUUCCUAAACAUUAAAAAUUCUUAACCAGAACAAAAAAAACCCUAAGCCAAACAAAACAUGUAAUUAGCACAUAAUACCAAACCUCUACCUCGUUGCACGCACAAGCCAUCGUUGUUUCACUUCAGCACUUGAGGUACUUAUAAUUUCUUACUUUCUUUUCAAGCUCUUCAAAUUUCUUAAUUUUUUUCUUGUUACAUCUAAGGUCUCAAGUUUCAACUUUUGUAUAUAUUUAAAUUCAUAAUUUUAGUUAAAUUUCACGUAUUGAUAUAAACAAAUGAGAUUUUAGCAUGUUAUUCUUUUCGACAUGUUAUUGAAACAUUGAAUGUAUUAUUCUAUCUUUAUUUAAACAAUUAAUUUCUUUAAAUUUUAUUCAAUUUUGAAUUUAAUUAGUAGUAAAUUUUUUUAUAUUAGAUUUUUUUAAUUUAAUUACUUCAUAGAUUGGACAAAAUUAAAAAUUAAAAAUUCAUAAAUCAAUUUGUAAAAUGAUGGUUUGGAUGUGAAUUAGGUUAAAUCCAUAUUCGAUCCGCAAAUAUAUGGAUUGAGUUUCACCAAUCCGUGGAUUUAAUUGGAUUGAAAAUUUAUAAUCUAUAAAAUUAUGGAUCGGAUAUGGAUUGAUAUAUAAUCCGUAAAAUUCGAUCCACGAACACCCCUAUUUGGCAAAUUAACACUCGGGAAAGCUGAUCCUUGUAAAAAAAAUAAAAUAAAAAAGAAAGAAAACUCAAAAAUGCAAUGCUGACCAACAGCUGGGAACAAUUUUUUUUUUUUUUUUACCCUAAUCAACGUGGUAAUAAAUAUUAUUGGCUGUAGGUUACUAGGUUCGAUAUCUCGAACUCGGCCUGGCCCAUGUUGGUAUGGGCUGGAUUGUAAAAUUACAAUAAAAUGUUGCCUAGUUGAUAGCAAAAUCACGUAAACAUCCAAUGAACGUUUGAAUUUUAGGACUACUUGGUAAUAAUAAGCUUUUAAAUGAUUACUAUAAUCUAGAAAUAAUCAAUUACGAAAAGAAUUAAUUAAUUAUUUAGUAAAUUCUAUUUUUUAAAAUGUUAUGAGUUUUAAAAUAGUAUUAUGUAUUUGGUAAAUUUUACUUAUUAAACUAUUGUAAGCAUACAAAUAAUUGAAUUCAAUAUAAUGUUAAGUAAAAUUUAUUCACACAUUUAUGAACAUAUUUAUAAAAUAUUUUUUAUGUGUAUAGAAAAUAAUUGAUAAUUAAAAAAAUUUUAUUUUUUUAUUUUUUUAUUUUGUUAUCACAAUAUAAAUAGCAAUAAUAAUAAUAUCUUUAAAUUUAAUGAUUUUAUUUUUUAAUUAAUAAGAUUAAUUUUAAAUGUUUUUAAUAAAUGGAACUAUUAGAUAUAAAAUUAAUUCUCAAAAUUAGAUUUUAAAAAAUUACUCAUUUCAUACUUCUCAAAAUCUACUAUAAUAUAAACUAAUUUUUCUAAAAAUAAUCUUAUUAAUUAAAUAAUUGAUAGUAUGUUUAAUAAAUAUUAUGUUACAAAAAAAAUUAACUACAUAGAAUAUGAAAUUAAAUUUAUUUUUGUAUUUUGUACAUUUCAUCUACUUGAGAUAAUAAAAUCUCUUGUGUUGAAAAAGAAAAUUAUGGGUUUUGAAUCUUGUUCACAUAGGUGAGAGGAAAUUGGUUACCAUUAUGUUAAAUUAAAAAAAAAAUCAUAUUAUACUUAUCAUUAAUUAUGGUUAGUAAAUAAUAUACAUAGUUUAACUAUAUAAUAAAGUAGUUAAUUUAUUAAUUAAUAAAUUUAUUAAUUUAAAUAGAUAUUAAUAAAUGUAAGAAUAAGUCAUUUAAUUGGAAACCUAGUUCAAUAGAAUUAAAAAAAAAAUAUUAUGGACUUAUAUGUCAAAAUUUCAAAACUUUUGAUUGUAUUUUUAAAUAAUAAUAAUAUCUUUAAAUUUAAUGAUUUUAUUUUUUAAUUAAUAAGAUUAAUUUUAAUUUUUUUUAAUAUAUGGAACUAUUAGAUAUAAAAUUAAUUCUCAAAAUUGGAUUUUAAAAAAUUACUCAUUUCAUACUUCUGAAAAUCUACUAUAGAGCAUCUCCAAAAGACUUUUUAGAUUUUACUCUUCAAAUAUCAAUUUGCUUACUGAUGUGGGAAAUAAGUGGAUGGAAAAAUACAAUCUCCUCCAAAAGACUCAUCAAAUAAUAAUAAGUUAACAUUAUUUUAAUCAAAUAUUUCCACUAUUAAAUUGAAUUGUUGUUAUGUUUUUUAAAGGAAACAUAACUAAUAAUUAUUGUAAUCUUAUCUUUUCAAUAAUUAAUAAUAAAAUAUUAAUAGAAGAGGGAGAAAUUCACUCGGUAAUAUUGAAGAGUGGGAAACAAAUCUUAUUUGAAGAAUCUAAAUUAACAUAUCUUUUGGAGUGUUUAAUAUUGAUAUGACUCAUCAAAUAAGAAGUAUAAUUUUAUUUGAAGAAUCUUUUGGAGAUGCUCUAAAAUAAACUGAUUUUUCUAAAAAUAAUUUUUAAAGUAAUUUACAGGAUAUUAAAAAUAAUUUUUAAUAUUUUAAAAUUAAUUUAUAACCCUAAAAAAUAAAUACUGAAAUUAAUUUUUUUUAACUUUUCAAAAUUAAACUCCAGACUCCUUAAAGCACUUUCCGCCAAUCGCCCGCAACUUCCUUCUCAUCUUAUCUAGAUAAAAAGUAUGAUCAUUUCGCUGUCUCUUAGAUUUAUUCGCUUAUAUAGAUUCGAAAUCGAACAAACUCUGCAGCUUUCUAAAUAACACACAGCAAAAAGGGAAAAAAAUUAAAAAAAAAAAAAGGCUGAGUCGUCAUCGUCUCAAUGGCGACGGCUGAGACACAAACGAUGGUGGUAGGGAUCGACGAUAGCGAGCACGGCACCUACGCGCUUCAAUGGACGCUCGAUCAUUUCUUUGCAAAUUGGACCGUAAAUCCUCCUUUCAAACUCGUCAUCGUUCACGCCAAACCUUCCCCUUCUUCUGUUGUUGGCCUUAUACUAUUACUUUUCUAUACUUAUGCUAUUACCUAUAAUUUUCUGUUCUUUAAGAAAAACCCA
rnacentral:lncRNA from 1 species